AAACAAACAAUGUGUGCUUCAUCUUGCUUAGUUGUAUUCAAAAGAGAAUGCAAACCAGGCCCAAGCCCAGUGUUGGAAUAAAGAUCAACAUUAAUCAUCACUGAUAUGUCCCAAUUAUUUUCUUAUUACACUAUGAUAUCAGUUCAAACUAAUAGAUGAUAAUACAUUUAUACAUCCAACUCUCAACAUUAUUCAUCAAUCUAUGUAUGUAUUUUACGUACUUGUAAUAUUGUGUGUUACAAAUCAAGCAGUACUAUCUCUUGCAUGGAGGCAGAGGAGAACCACAGAGACGAUCAUUUCCUAUAAAUGAUUCAACUGGGAACUUUGUUCUUGUUGUUGGAAUUGGCCCACUCAGUUGAUUGUAUGACAGGUCAAGCUCGUCAAGCUUUUGAAAAUUCUUAAGGUAAUCAGGGAUUCUACCAGUUAAAGCGUUAUGGCUAGCCCUGAAAACUUGAAGUUGUGGUGCCAAGAAUGAAAAUGAAGGUGGAAUCUCACCAGAGAGUUUGUUGUAGGAAAGAUACAACUCUCUAAGAGCAAGUGACUUGAAAAAAUCUGGAAUCUUGCCAGAAAGUUGAUUGUUCUGGAGUCUCAAAUAUGUCAUAUUUCUCAAAUGCCGAAUACCAUAAGGAAUCCCACCAGAAAUUUUGUUGUCAUCAAGAUCAAGCUCAAGUAAGUGAGUGAAUUGAGAAAUAGAGUUUGGAAUUGAACCUGUGAAUUGGUUACCAUAUAGAUUCAAUAAUUGAAACCGAUCAGAUUUUGGGCCUAUAUCAAUAUGAAGUUGACCAGAAAGUUUGUUGUUUCUUAUGAAAACAAACUGUAGCCUUGGAAGAUUGAAUAUUUCUUUCGGUAGAGUGCCGGUAAUGUUUGUAUAUUGAAUGGAUAUAUGGCUUAACCGCAGAACUUUAAUGAAUAGUGAAGGGGAAAUUGUGCCUGUUAAGAAGCUACUUGUAUUAGUAGAAUCUCCAUAAAGGGAUAAUUCGGUGACUCGGUCUGUAUUGAUGCAGUAUAUGCCGGACCAACUGCAACAAUCUGUAUCGGGUAUCCAUGAGCUAAGCAUGCCCGAUGGAUCUUGAGUCAUUCCCGAUUUGAAUGCUAGUAGACCAGCUUCAUCAUCCACAUGGCAUUUUGCAAAGCAAAGUGGAGAUAAAACUGUGAGCAAGAGAACAAGUACUAGAGCAAGAUGAUGAGUAGUAGAAGUGAAAGCCAAUGCCAUAACGAAAUGAUAAGUUAGUUGACAUGGUAUUAAGCCGUGAGAAGAGUUUGUUUAUAUAAGGUUCUUUUGUGUUUCCAGAAGAGUUUGAAUGUCUUAGGUGGACAUCAACUUGGGGCAAAUACAUACAGGACUAAUCCGCCGUUAAAUAAGAAUAAGAAAUUUAUUUCGUUUAAUCUUCUUGUUCAAUGGUACAUAAUUUGAUAUUUAUAAGUCAAGUUCGAUGGCUUUGUGGAGAAGAUUGCAAAAUGAAAUAAAGGAAAGAGUACACGAAGACAGGUAUAAAUGGAUAAAUGCCAUGACCAUAGGAAUAUGGGAUGACGGGAAUUCAAUAUAUUGUCCAACAAGUGGGGAUAACCGGAUAAGGAUAUAAGGUAGGUGUGAGUAGGAAAAUUUUCCUUGAUCUCCAUUGAACUGGUCCCUGCCCAUUAACGGAAUCAAUAUUCAAUAGCCUGCAUUUAAUUUCUUUUGUCAGUUCUAAACCCCUGUGAAUAGCUUCAGGUUCCACACAUAACAUUAUAAAAAAAAAACCAGCGAUACAAGUCCAAGCAAACAGAGUAAAUAACCAAGAUCAAAUUGAAACAGAAUUUGGGCAGGGGGUGAGGCUCUCAACAUAAUGUAGGAAAGUACAAGUCACUUGUUGCCUGAGCUUGAAAGAUGUCACUUGUUACCAUUUUUGUGGAAAUGCUAUGAGGUUCAUACUGUAUAACUUCUGCUAUUCUCCUAUGUUUAGGUCCCUCAGAACCCAAAUAUCCCAUUGACAUAACUCACGACUUUGUGCCUCCAUAUUUGGUGCCACAAGAGAUAGACAACAUUCUAUUUCAUGUAAUACAUCCAUUAUAGAGAACCAGAAUGUAGGGACGUCUGACUUGUAAAACUUCUCCCCAGCAGUGUCAAAAGAAAUAAAAGUUACUUGAAGAAAUAAUAGUCCAAGAUUGUAACAUAUCAUUUUCAUAGUAAGCACCACAAAUAAAAUGAAAGACUCCGUUGAUGAUAACAGAAUAUGUCACGACAUACCGGUGAAGUAAGCGCUUGAAAGGCGAAUGUAUCCAUUUCCAUUUACCAAAAGUAGACCAAGAGUAAGCAUUUCACAUUUCAAGGAUCCAGUUUCGUUAAAAAUAUAUUCUUCAGUAGAACCAAGGAAUGUGAUACCGCGCAUAAUAUCUAUAAUUUUGGGCUAUUGAGUACAAGGAGGCAAUUCGACACACUGAUUAGUAACAGGAUUAACAACUAUUAGACGUCCCACACUCGGCAUAUCGUCUAGUAAUAGUAAGCCAUGCAGCUACUUUUCACAAUUUUUUGCAUUUUAAUUUGAAUUGACUAACACUAAAACUCCUGACAUUAUCAAAUUGUAUAUUAUCAAGGUCAACAUAUCUGUACUCAUUACCUGCCUGACUGCCUCUGAUAGGAAAGCAGUUCUUGAUAUGGCAAGAACACCAGGAAUUGAUUGACGAAGGUGAGCAUCUAUAAAUCUGGAACUAUUGAUCAACUCAAACCAUUGUUUGCAAAUAUACCUCAUUCUUUGUAUUUUCUGCGCACAGCACAACGGGGUCGGCAUCGGACACCCACAAGGCAAGGUUAUCUCGUGUUUUAGACAGGAAUCAGGGGCUGAAGCAUCAUGAGCAUGUCAAAUAUGAUAUUCUCGUACAGAUAUGGAAUAAUUAAAUCACCGUUCUUGUGCUCGCAAAUGGUCUUGCUUAGAAGACCUUUGUGAUUUUCCAUCUUUAGCUAAUAUGAAAUUUGCUACCUAAAUAAAAAGAAAAAAAUAAUAAUUAAGGAAUAUGAGAGGUUAUUUAAUCAUAGGAGCUGAUACAUAUCCACUAUAUUUUGCAAUGGCAAUGGCAGGGGAGCAUAUCAGCAGUCAAGUUGUUCCAUCGGAUCAUGGGUUGGCAAUGGCAGGGGAGCAUAUCAGCAGUCAAGUUGUUCCAUCGGAUCAUGGGUUGGCAAUGGCAGGGGAGCAUAUCAGCAGUCAGUUUAUUAGUAUAUAUCUUAUUCUCAAAUUAUGAAGUGUGGUUUGUUAGCAUUUCAAAAAAAAAAAAACUAGGUCUCCAUUGUAAAAAUAUUGGCAUGAAGAUCAACAUUAUUCAUCCAUAUCUGAAUUAUUUUCUUAUUACACUGUAAUACCAGUUCAAACUAAUAAAUAAUACAUCCAAGCAAUUAUCAACAUUAUUCAUCAAUGUAUUGACUGUGCUACAAAUCAAACUAAUACUACUUCUUGCAUGGAGACAAAGGAAAACCACAGAGACGAUCAUUUCCUAUAAAUGAUUCAACUGGGAACUUUGUUGUUGGAAUUGGACCACUUAGUCGAUUGUACGACAGGUCAAGCUCGUCGAGCGUUUGGAAAUUCCUGAGGUAAUCAGGGAUUCUGCCAGUUAAAGCGUUAUGGCUAGCCCUGAAAAAUUGAAGUUCUGGUGCCAAGAAUGAAAAUGAAGGUGGAAUCCCACCAGAGAGUUUGUUGUAUGAAAGAUCAAAAUCUCUAAGAACAAGUGACUUGAAAAUAUCUGGAAUCCCACCGGAAAGUUGAUUGUUCUGAAGUCUCAAGUAUGUCAUAUUUCUAAAUUGCCGGAAACUAUAAGGAAUUCCACCAGAAAAUUUGUUGUUAUUGAGAUAAAGGCUAAGUAAGUGAGUGAAUUGAGAAAUAGAGUUUGGAAUUGAACCUGUGAAUUGGUUUCCAUCUAGUUCCAAAGAUUGAAACCGAUCAGAUUUUGGGCUUAUAUCAAUACGAAGUGGACCAGAAAGUUUGUUGUUUCUUAUAGUAAGAAACUGUAGCCUUGGAAGAUUAAAUAUAUCUUUGGGUAGAGUGCCAGUAAUGUUUGUAUUUUCAAUGAAUAUACGGCUUAACCGCCGAGCUUUAAUGAAUAAUGAAGGGGAAAUUGUGCCUGUUAAGAAGCUGUUAGGAUUAGUGGCAUCUCCAGAAAGGAAUAAAUCGGUGACUCGGUCGCUAGGUAAGUCGCUAGAAAAGCAGGUUAAGCCGGACCAACUGCAACAAUCUGUACCGGGUAUCCAUGAGCUAAGCAUUCCAGAUGGAUCUCGAGUGAUUCCUGAUUUGAAAGCUAGUAGACCAGCUUCAUCAUCCACAUGGCAUUUUGCAAAGCAAAGUGGAGAUAAAACUGUGAGCAAGAGAACAAGUAGUAGAGCAAGAUGAUGAGGAGUAGAAGUGAAAGCUAAUGCCAUAAUGAAAUGAAAUGAUAUAUUAAGUUGUGAGAAGAGUUUGUUUAUAUAAGGUUUUUUCCUGUUUCCAGAAGAGUUAAAUCGUCUUAGGUGGACAUCGACACGUACAGGACUUAUCUAAUCUGCCCUUUAAUAAGAAUAAGAAACUUUAUUUGCUGGUUUGUGAUUUUUACGAGUCAAGUUAGAUGGCUUCUUUUUGUGGAGACUGGAGACUGGAGACUGGAGAAGAUUACAAAUGAAAUAAAGGAAAUAGUACACCAAUACAGCCUGGUGUUAUGUAUGUUGUAUUGUUGUUGCCGCGUAUAGGUGCAUAAAUGCCAUGACCAUGGGUUGAUGGAAAUUCAAUAUAUAUUGUCCAACAAUUGGGGAUAACCGGAUAAGGAUAUAAGCUAGCCAGCUAGGUGUGAGUAGGUAAAUUUGCUUGAUCAACUCAUCAACAUAGUAUUUCAGUUUCCAGGAGAAGGAUAGGGAAGAGAUCGAAGGUGAGAAUAACACACAGUGAUUACGACAGAGGAAGGAGAUGUUCAAACAGAAAAUGUAGGGCUUCAGUACUUCAGUUACCCACCAUAGUUUGCCAAAUCCAAAAUCAAAGUCAAAUGUCAAACUAUGCAACCAACAUACAAACCUUCUGCUCUUCUUGCUCUCAUCAUUUGCUGCUAUUUUUAUUCCUUCAAACAAUCAAUAUAUUUAGAUAAGUUUUCUUUACAUUUUUAUUUUGCAUAUUUUUAAUAAAUAGAAAAUUUUAUAUACCUUGGUUUGGAUGUGUAAUGUGUUGUUAAUACUGACUAAUAAAAAUAAUUUUCAAUUCCUUAUUAAAUCUAUAAAUUGAUUUGUCAACUUUAAAUCAAGCAAAAAUGAUAGAUUGCGAAUGAGCUUGUGGCUCAAUGGUAGCACCCCUUUCACAACGUGGAGACCGGAGAGAUUGUAGGUUCGAAACACGUUAACAGUAGAUUAUUGAUAUAAGUUUCCACACGUAAUUUAAAAAGGGUAUGGUCCCCUCAACCUUGCUUGCCAAUCAAAAAAAAUAAUAGAUUUGAAUUUUAAUCUGGUCAUGUAACAACAUAUUCAAAUCAAUAAGCUUUAAUUUGCAUUGUUAUUUUGGGCUUAAUUACUAUAUGUAUUAUUAUGUUAAAAUUGUUUGUUUUUCUAAUUUUUUUUUAUACACGUACAUGCAAUUCUUGUUUGGCAGAGUAGGGAGCGUGCAAAAAUAGCCUCGUCAACAAUUUAACAGUUUCGAGAAAGGUAAGAUUUUAGAACUGAUUUCUUAUGUCAGUGAUAUAUAUUUGACAUCAAAACAGCAGGUGAUGGUCAAUGGGGUUUCUUCUAGCUCUCUCUCUUCCUCUCAAUUUCCUUUGCAUUGUGUAUUGUGAGGUGUGGCAGUCUAAUUGACAUGAAGGCCAUGUUUUAGUUACUUGAGGCAUCUUUUAAUGAACUUCAUUCCUUCUGUCUUGUUUUCCGUACAAUAUAACUUAGUAGUGGAAGACUGGAAGCUAUGUUUAGGACUCUGUAUAAAGCUGUUUUCUUUAUUAUGGUAUUUAAGGAUGUUUUUUUUCUCUUUAGUUUGUUCGUAUCAUAUUUUUGUGGUUCUGUAUUUACUGUUAUCUUGGACUAAAAUGGUCUUUUUCAUUCUAGACUUACGUUGUUUAUGAAAAGUUGCAUGAACUAGCAUCCUUGGUGGCGAUUUUAUGUUGUUGUUUUUUUUUUGUUUGUUUGUUUUAUCUGUACUCAUACAUAUCUCAGCUCUAGGGGAAUUGGUACAUUUUAUGGAUUCAUUUAGCAUGCAAGUAUGUUGUAUAAAAACAAUUAGCCAGUGUUUGGAACCAUCAAGGAAAACUCUUAAAUCUCGAUGGAAUAUAAUAGUCUGUGUUUUUUUGUAAAACCUCUCCAAUCUAACCUGACUUAGUAAACCUCUGUUGUGGUAAGUGCUUUUGAUGUGCUCUUAGAAUAUGAAUCGAAAAUUCUUUUUGAUCUGUUGAUGUAUGACAUAAGAAAUCAGUUCAGCAAGUUACAUCCCCUAAACAGGAGAAUGAAAGAAGAGACCGAGGAAAGGAAGAAGCAAAUCAAAGAAAAUGGCGAAUGACAGAUUAAUCAUGUUGUUUGGCUUGUGAGUUGUGAUUCUUUAACUCCAAUAGUAGCAUCCUGGGAUGUUAUUUUUCCAUGAAACAAACUCGGUCUUAGAUUGAUAACAUGUCUGACUGAAUUGUCAUAAGUGAUUGAUUUGCUAACGCAUCUUCUUUUUUUCUUGACAAUUGGAUAUUUUGAAGCUCUCGUAUAAUAUGUUGGGAUAUCCAGAAUUAUGAUGUUUUUUCUCAAUUUAUCUAAUCACAUUGUAUUUGUUUGGUGAAGAGUCACAUUGUAGGUAUGAAAUAGGAUUUUUUUUGAACAAACAGUUUUGGCCUAUAUAUAUGAUGAACAAAUUAUAUAAGUCUGAACAAAUUAUAUAAGUCUAAGAAAGAGAAGAACAUUCCUAUGACGAUACUGUUUAUAUCCAUGAUCUAUAAUCUAUAUAUCUAUAUAAUAGCUAGACCCAUGCGGUUCCACAUUCUCUUUCCUAGGUGGCAUCCUCAAUAAUCUCCAAGGUUUCACAAAUUUUCUCAUUUUUUUUUUAAAAAAAAAUGGUUACUUUAAUAGCUUUAUAGCUAUUUAUUUUUUUUCUCUACUUUUUUAUCCAUUUUUUACAAAACCAAAACCUCUACACUUUUUAUCCACUCUCCCACUAAGCACAAAUCUCUUAAAUCAAAAUAAAAACAUAAAAAAUAGUAAAAACAUAAAUUAAUCAAACAUAAAUACACACGGGUGUCUAACGAAGCUCUUUCUCAUACCCGGUGCGUAGCACGGAGUCCACAACUAGUAGUUUACAAUAGCAAGAAUAAAGAAUGCUCUCAUCACACUUUGUGAUCUAAAAAAAAACUGAAAUGAUAUCCUUUGGUAGCUUCUAUCCAAAGCCAAGGCCUAUGCUUGGCUUACCAACAACAUUUUAACUACUUUAUAACACGCCCCCACUUCAAGGUGGUUUGUGUGACCUUCGUUGGCAACAUAAUGUAUAAACACGUGUACUUAUAACUAUUACUUUAUUAUCAUUAUCAUUCCAAUUUUACCCUUAUACAUUAAGGUGGUUUGUUUCUCUCUUAUCUUCUUCUCUCCCCCAACUCUCUCUAUCUCUGCGUCAACCCCUUGUUGUUUUUCUUCCUCCUCUCUCUUUCUCCUUUCCCAUCUUUUUCUUCUUCACGGUUCUAUAUUAUAAGUCAUUGUCGUUCUUCCUAUCAUUUUGCACGCAUAGGCGUGCACAUUCACAUAAUGUAUAGAAAAGCCAAGUGCACUAACUGUUGUCCAGUCUAUUCCUAAGUUUUUUCCAUCCAAGAUGUAAGAUGGGUGCCUCAUUACUCCGAGUAAUUGUGUAGGGGUACUACAUACUCCAACCAAUCAAAAGCAGCCACGUGGCAUAGUCAUUAAUCCAUCAGGUCGCUACAAUCUCGACCUACUAGCAGCUCGACCACAACAACUCGACUACAUAAUCAGCAGCGGCCUACUCAUACACAUAUGCCCUAAUUCGGCCCAAAAGAUAUUCUCUCCAGCUAUUGUCCGAUCAUUACAGCCGUUACACAAUCACUGGAAGAAUAUUAUAUCACCAUAAAUAUGUCAGAGAAUAUUAUAAAUACGUCGCAGAAUCUACAGGAUCCCAAGAUCUUCGCCUCUUCAUCUUCUAUAUAAACAGAACUACGAUGGCUUGAUAUCUAAGUUCAAUCCCGACGAACUAGAGUACGUAGGCAAUCUCAAUCUCAACGAGGUGCAACCACCCCGAUCUAAAACUUCCCCAUUGGUCAAGUCUAUCAACGACUUGACCUAAUGAAUGUGUUGAUCUAGAAAUAGGUUAAUACAAAUUGAGUAUAGAGUUGUACAUUCUGAUAUGUAUCAUCAUCUGUUAAGAUACAAAUGCAUCCGCAUUGGGCUAGUCGCUACUACAACCCGUCCCCAUCUUCUUGUUUAACAUCUUAAAAUGUCAGUCUACCAACAUAUGGAUCAUAAAUUCUUAGGCGAACUUUGUGAUUUAGUAACAUUUUGCAUAUAUCCAUUGCAUGUGAGUUUGUUAAGUCCGAUAUAUCAUGCUUAGAAGCAAAACCAAAAAUGGCAAUUGUUGUAUUGGUUAUCUCAAGAAGUUUAUGUAGUACCAUUUUGACAAAUCUCUUCCUUGUUGCCUAGUUGUUCUGUAAAAACUUUGUGUAGAGCUGCUUCUCGUCUGUUGAACCAUGAUUAUGUGCUACUUGGCUAAAAAACUGGAUAUCUCUAAUAAGAUUAUGCCCCCAAAGCCAAUUCCAAUAUUUAAAUAUGUUGGCCCAAGACGCUCAUUACGGAGCAUGAUCUCUUUGAUUCUGUUUAUAUUAGCACUUACCCCUGUAGAAAUACUUGCUAUGCUGUUGAAGGUAGAAAUUUUUGAAGCAAGCAAACAUUAAUACCCAGUUUUGCUAGAAUGACAAACUUGGAGUCUGGAAUUCUAAACACUACGUAGUACGUCAUCAUUGACCCAAUUCAACAGUUGCAUAUACUCUUGAAAAUUGUUUCCGCCUAAGACUUAGGUGCUGUUUGUUUUUACCUCUUAUAAGAGGUUGGAUUUACUAGAGCCUCUAUUAAGAGGUGUACCACUAAAGUGAGGUGUUUGUUUUUUGCCUCUUAUAAGAGGCUGAUUUUUGGUAGUGGCAAUGACCUUGCUAUUAGCCUCUUAUAAGAGGUAGACAUUUUCAAAAUACCUAUCUUACCCAUGAUCUUUAUAACUUUUUCCUACCCCUAGUCCUUAAAUAUAAAAUACCUUAAAUCUUUUUUUAAUUUUUUUUUCACAUAUUUUUCUAUCUCUCUUAUAUUUAUGGAAUUUUCUUUUUCUUAAGCUAAAAAAUUAAUUUUUUUUUAUAUUUUUUUAUAUUUAGGGAAUUAAAAAAACAUUUUUAAAAAAAGGAUAUAAUUGUAAAGUUUAUCUCUUAUAAGAGGUUUUAAAAACAAACACCUUACAUCUUAUAAACUCUUGCAAGAGGCAAAAACAAACGAUUUUCAUGUACCUCUUAUAAGAGGCAACCUCUUACAAGACAUACCUCUUAAAAGAGGCAACCUCUUACAAGAGGGACCGCAAAAAAACAACAGCCCCUUAAUCAGUCCCUCCAAAUAUAACUUGGUUGGGGAUAAGUAGAUCCCUAUAAGUUGUUCCCAAUGAGUGGAACUUAGGAUUGAAAACAUAAAUAGGAUCAACAAGCACUCUAUUUUGAUGGAAAAUAUGUGUGAUAGUUUCAUUGGCAUCAAUAGGAACAUUAGAUUUCUCAAAGACUAGCUUCCCUGCUGCAUGAUUAGCAAUUGUUUCUCAGGAUUCUUCCCAUUUGAUAAGAUUUAAUGUGUCUUCCCCAUUAAUUCUUUGGAUCGGACUAUCUAUUGCCAUGACUAUAUAAUCCGCUGCAUUCAAUGCCGCUAGUAUGUUAUGAUCAUACUCAGUCAUCAAUCAGACGUUUCUUACUGGAUGAAUCAUUCCCUCCAUGUCUGGUUCUUCAAUAGGAAUUAAUCUUGCUUGCCACUGGUCAAUGUGCUCACUGAAUACAUCCAACAUGGUAAUGACCACAUUUUCACAAUGGUAAGCCAUAAAGAUCAUGGUGAUGCCUGUAGUGUAGCUAGAUCCCAAGCAUGCAAUACUUAUAACAAGGUCAUAGGGUCCUACUACUCCGGAGUUUUGAUUUUGAUCCAUUGUGUCAUUAGCCGCUCUGAAAAGCUAUAGAAAAGUUUAAACAAACUAGUAUGAAGUUGAAGAAGAUGAUAAAGAAUAGAGAAUGAGAAUUAAGAAUAAGAAGAGAGUGAGGAAAAACAAUGGCUACGUCCAUAUAUAUAUAUUACUACAAUAAUACAAUAAAACUCAUAAUAAUAGAGUAAUUGGGUAUUCCAAAUAUACUACUUUACAACGCGCCCCUACUUCAAAGUGAUUUGCGUGACCUUCGUUGGCAACAUAAUGUAUAAACACGUGUACUUUUAACUAUUACUUUAUUAUCAUUCUAAUUUACCCUUAUACAUUAAGAGUUGUAUACUAAUAAAGAAAAGAUAAUAAAAUAAUUUUUAAAGUGGGAUCUACAAUAUUUUUAAAGUGAGGUCUACAAUAUCUUACAAAGUGCUACUGCUCUGGAAGUAAAAUGUUCUUGCCACCUGACCUUUUAACAAACAAAAAUACUUAAUUACGUAAAACCAAUAUUAUGUGGGUCCAUUAAAUAUCAAAAAUCCCAACUUCUAAAAAUUGUUAAAAUUUGUCAAAAAAUCCAAUACUAAUUUACUAUUGUACUCUUACUUUUUUUAUUAAACUUAAUAAUAAAAUUUGUCUAAAAACCCAAAUUAUUAAUAUAUAUAAUAUAAUAUCUAUUUUACCUUUUAUACAUUUCUUUUUUUAUACUGAAAUUACGAUAAUUUUCAAAGGAAGGGACCCAUAUAUAGAUUUAUAAAAAUCAAAUAAUCUGUCGAUAAAUGAAGAAAAAAUAUUUUACUUUUUACAAUAUGAACAUUUAAAAAGAGGUUUUUUUCCUUCAUUUUGUUCUGUACAUAAUCGACCGACUUUAAGAGGUCCAUUAUACUUUGGGUGGAAUCAUAAUUUGUGUCUAUCCGUCCACUUUGGGUUUUUUUUUUUUUUUUUUUGCCUUCUUUUAUCUUCUCUCCCCCAACUCUCUUUAUCUCUGCGUAAACCCCUCUUUGUUCUUCCUCCUCUCUCUUUCUCCUUCCCCAUCUCUUUCUAACUCACAACCCAAAUUGAUCCCCACUGUUUCAUGGUUUUCUAUUAUAAGUCGUUGUUCUUCCCCUCGUUUCCCACACAUAUGCGUGCACAUUCACAUAAUAGAGUCUUAAUGGAAGUCGAUAAUGGUAAACCUUUGUUAAAUCGUCAUAGGUAUUUCUAAAAUUAACGUUUUGUUGAGUAAUUAGCAAUUCCAAAUAACACUCUUAUUUUUAAUAAUAGAGUAAUUGGGAAUUCUAUAGAAUAUGGGAUUACUUUUUUCCUAGUUUCUAAUUUGGUUUAAAACCUAUUAGCUGUCAACAAACAUAUUCGACUUCCAAUGAAACUAUCACACUGUAUUAAUUAAUAAAAAUAAAAAUAAAGAUAAUGCUAUGUUAUUUUAACUUUGGAAAAAUAAUAAUAAUACUUUAAUUAAUGAUUGUGUUUGUAAGUGACCCAAAUGAUUUAUGUACAAUGUAACUUGUUGGUCGACUUUUUAAAGGAAGCAAUGAAAUAUUUAUAUCUUAUAAAAAAAAAAAAAAAACUCCAUCUUGAUAUUAUCAUAUAGACGAUUGAUACAAAUCAAAAUAUAUUUUGUUAAUACGAAAUAAGAGCAAUAAAAAAAAUUAUAGAGUAAUUGGGAAUUCUAUAGAAUAUGGGAUUACUUUUUUCCUAGUUUCUAAUUUGGAAGUUAAUGCCAUAUUGAAUUGAUUAUUGAUGUGAUCUUAAGCAAUGAGAAAGGGGUUUAUAUAAGUUUUCUUUGUUUGUUUGCAAAGAGCAAGUUAUGUUCAAGAUGCGGUAUGGGUCGUCACACACUUGACGGCUGCGUUUUGGUCUGAUGAGAUAAGAGUGGAUAAGGUCAAUAAAUCAAUUUUGCAUACAAAGAAGGGAAAAUGUGGGAGACUGAACUCAGUCAUAAACAUAAGCCUUUGUAUUAAUAUGCCCAACUACAUUCACAACACAAUGCCUGCUCACAAUGUAUGUAUCUUUUAUUCCCUGAAACCUUUUCAUGUAUCUCUUCAUUCCAUUUCUUCCCUAUUGUACCCAGCUUCUUAAGAUUCCACGCUUUAUCACCUCGUCUAUGAUAAAACUGUCCGAGGACUUCAGCAUCAACAAAAAGGCAGUGCUCGAGAUCUAGUAUUCUAAGCUUAGCAUGACCAUCAAAUAUCAAGAGCGCAUCCAGUGUUAAAGAAGACUUUUUUAGUGACAAACUCUCGAGUUCACGAAGAUGUCUUACAAUGAAAGAUGCUGUUUCUGAUCCAAUAAUCCCACAUAGGCCAAGAUGCUGGAGAUUCUUGCAGUAAUGUCCGAGACAACUAAUUAAGCCAGAGCUUCCCACAUAUGACAAGACUGCAGGAUCUGCAGCUUCCUGUUGGGGUAAAACUAAGGACAAUUGGGAGACUGAUUGACCUCUUGGUAGAGCUCUACAGGCUAAAAUCCAUCACUAUGGGCUAAGUUGUAGUAUAUUGAGAAGGGUGGGUUAGUUUGAAACUUUGAAUCAUGUGUUGGAUUUUUUGGACGGAGGGAACUUUUUUGUUCAGGAACGUACGUACGCAGUUAGGACGUUCGUACGUUCCAUUCGACAGAUGACUUUAAGGGGAAGGAACGUACGUACGUAGUUAGGGCGUACGUACGUCCUGGAUCACAGAUGACUUCCCCGUGUGGCUCGACGUACGAACGUCAAUUCAACGUACGUACGUCCUCUCUUGGUUUUGUGUAUAUGGGCCGGUUUAAGCCCAUUUCGUGUGUGUUUGUAUGGCUAUGUUAUAAAGCCAAUUGAGAAGGUUGGAAAACCUAAUCUUCAUGUGAGAGAGAGAUUGUGAGAAGCCAUUGGUGAGUUUGAGAGAACUCUUGUGAGGAAGAACACUUUGGUUUCUUCGUGAGGGCUUGUAUAAUCGUCUCUAUUUGGAAGAUUGUUGUUUUGGUCGUGGACGUAGGCAAUAUUAGCCGAACCACGUAAAUCUUGUGUUUUGUGUUUGUUUUGUUUUGCUUUGUUUGAUUCACACACUAUUUCAAUUUUGGAUAUUGGUGCAUAAGCUUCCGCUGCGCACAACAUCAUGAUGUACAUAACAUCUCAUACGAAAUAUGUAUAAAUCAGUAAUCACACAAAGCAGGAAGAAGAAGGUUAGGCUAUUAAAAAAAAAAAAAAAAAAGAGAGAGAGAAGAGAAACCUGACGUUUUUUAUUCCACUUCUUCUUGUUAGUAUUACUUACUGGAUUACAACUUAUCUGAAAUCCAUAAUUCUUCUAGCAACUUAGCAUGUUAGCAAGCACAAUGGCUGAAUUUAGCUUAAAAGGGAGUUAUUAAUGGUAUUAGGUUAAACAAUGGUAUUAGGUUAAUUAAGGUCGGAUCGGUCCAAUUUGUAUUACAAAGCCCACAAUGAAUAAAUGUUUAUGUAAGCCCAUUGGUUCUUUAGUAAUGCCCAGCCCAUUUUGAAAGCUAGUGUGAAGAAGAACGUCGCAGUCCGAUAAGUUGGAAUGAAAAAAAGUUAUUUCAUUUUGUUGGUCGUUUUUUUGCUGAAGCUCAAUUUGUAGGUCAUCUUUGAUCGCGUUUUUUAAACUAGGUUGCCAUUAAAAAAAUCUUGGUAUCAUAUUAAGUUUUAUUAUUGUGAAAAAUCAGUUCAAACGAAAAACUAUCCAUUUUGCCCAACACAAAUAAUAUAAGUAAACUACUUAAUUAAUAAACCAACUCACAAAUAAAUAGUAUGCCAUGCCACUAUAUUUUGCAAUGACAAUGGCAGGGGAGCAUAUCAGCAGUCAAGUUGUUCCAUAGGAUCAUGGGUUGGCAAUGGCAGGGGAGCAUAUCAGCAUUCAGUUUAUUAGUAUAUAUAUAUCUUAUUCUCAAAUUAUGAAGUGUGGUUUGUUAGCAUUUCAAAACAAUAAAAAAACUAGGUCUCCAUUGUAGAGAUAUUGGUAUGAAGAUCAACAUUAUUCAUCAAUAUCUGAAUUAUUUUCUUAUUAUUACACUGUAAUACCAGUUCAAACUAAUAAAUAAUACAUCCAAGCAACUAUCAACAUUAUUCAUCAAUGUAUUUAGUUUGCUACAAAUCAAACAAGUACUACUUCUUGCAUGGAGGCAAAGGAAAACCACAGAGACGAUCAUUUCCUAUAAAUGAUUCAACUGGGAACUUUGUUGUUGGAAUUGGACCACUUAGUCGAUUGUACGACAGGUCAAGCUCGUCAAGCGUUUGGAAAUUCCUGAGGUAAUCAGGGAUUCUGCCAGUUAAAGCAUUAUGGCUAGCUCUGAAAAAUUGAAGUUCUGGUGCCAAGAAUGAAAAUGAAGGUGGAAUCCCACCAGAGAGUUUGUUGUAGGAAAUAUCAAAAUCUCUAAGAACAAGUGACUUGAAAAAAUUUGGAAUCCCACCGGAAAGUUGAUUGUUCUGAAGUCUCAAGUAUGUCAUAUUUCUAAAUUGCCGGAAACUAUAAGGAAUCCCACCAGAAAAUUUGUUGUCAUUGAGAUAAAGGCCAAGUAAGUGAGUGAAUUGAGAAAUAGAGUUUGGAAUUGAACCUGUGAAUUGGUUUCCAUCUAGUUCCAAAGAUUGAAACCGAUCAGAUUUUGGGCUUAUAUCAAUACGAAGUGGACCAGAAAGUUUGUUGUUUCUUAUAGUAAGAAACUGUAGCCUUGGAAGAUUAAAUAUAUCUUUGGGUAGAGUGCCAGUAAUGUUUGUAUUUUCAAUGAAUAUACGGCUUAACUGCCGAGCUUUAAUGAAUAAUGAAGGGGAAAUUGUGCCUGUUAAGAAGCUGUUCGGAUUAGUAGUAUCUCCAGAAAGGAAUAAAUCAGUGACUCGGUCGUUAGAAAUGCAGGUUAAGCCGGACCAACUGCAACAAUCUGUACCGGGUAUCCAUGAGCUAAGCAUUCCGGAUGGAUCUCGAGUGAUUCCUGAUUUGAAAGCUAGUAGACCAGCUUCAUCAUCCACAUGGCAUUUUGCAAAGCAAAGUGGAGAUAAAACUGUGAGCAAGAGAACAAGUAGUAGAGCAAGAUGAUGAGGAGUAGAAGUGAAAGCUAAUGCCAUAAUGAAAUGAAAUGAUAUAUUAAGUUGUGAGAAGAGUUUGUUUAUAUAAGGUUUUUUCCUGUUUCCAGAAGAGUUAAAUCGUCUUAGGUGGACAUCGACACGUACAGGACUUAUCUAAUCUGCCCUUUAAUAAGAAUAAGAAACUUUAUUUGCUGGUUUGUGAUUUUUACGAGUCAAGUUAGAUGGCUUCUUUUUGUGGAGACUGGAGACUGGAGACUGGAGAAGAUUGCAAAUGAAAUAAAGGAAAUAGUACACCAAGACAGCCUGGUGUUAUGUAUGUUGUAUUGUUGUUGCCGCGUAUAGGUGCAUAAAUGCCAUGACCAUGGGUUGAUGGGAAUAACUGGAUAAGGAUAUAAGCUAGCCUGCAGCUAGCUAGGUGUGAGUAGGAAAAUUUGCUUGAUCAACUGAUCAACAUAGUAUUUCAGUUUUCAGGAGAUCGAAGGAUAGGGAAGAGAAGAGAAGGUGAGAAUGAGACAGAGUGAUUACGACAGAGGAAGGAGAAGUUCAAAGAGAAAAUGUAGGGCUUCAGUACUUCAGUAAACUUACCAAAUUUUCUUAACCAUAGACCAAGUGAUCUGGUUCAUAUUAGGUCAAAGUCAAAGUCAAUGUCAAAUCCAAAGUCAAAGUCAAAUGUCAAACUAUGCAACCAACAUACAAACCUUCUGCUCUUCUUGCUCUCAUCAUUUGCUGCUCUUCUUGAUCCCCAACACAUUACCUUCUUCUCAACUAAAACGCCAAGUUUAAUUUUGUCAAAGCUGCUAUUUUUUAUUCCUUCAAACAAUCAAUAUAUUCAGAUAAGUUUUCUUUACAUUUUUAUUUUGCAUAUAUUUAAUAAAUAGAAAAUUUUAUAUACCUUGAUUUGAAUGUGUAAUUUGUUGUUAACAACUUAAUAGUUAAUACUAACUAAUAAAAUAAUUUUCAAUUCCUUAUUAAAUCUAUAAAUUGAUUUGUCAACUUUGAAUCAAGCAAAAAUUGAUAGAUUUGAAUUUUAAUCUGGUCAUGUAACUACAUAUUCAAAUCAAUAACCUUUAAUUUGCAUUGUUAUUUGGGUUUAUUUUGGGCUUAAUUACUAUAUGUAUUAUUAUGUUAAAAUUGUUUGUUUUUCUAAUUUUUUAUACACAUACAUGCAAUUCUUGUUUGGCAGAGUAGGGAGUGUGCAAAAAUAGCCUUGUCAACAAUUUAACACAGUUUCGAGAGAAAGGUAAGAUUUUAACCCUUUUUCUUAUUUUUCGUCCCUCGGCAUUGCAGUAUUAACUUAGAACUGGAAAACUUCAUCAAUGAGCUGGAAAGGUCGCCUCACCCUACUUCCCAACAUGGGUUUUUUUAUAGGACAGUAAAGAUGGCCAGCCCGGAAUUUUCCAUUGCUGUAACUCUGUAAGUAGGUAGACUAUGGUAACAGAAAGUGAUAAGAACUUCAACUUUUAGACACCGUACGUAGACGUGAGUUGUUGGAACUUGGCACCGUUUUACUUAAUUAUCCUCUAGUCCAAGGGUUAACCUUCAUCCAUUAGAUACUUAGAUAGUGAUGGUGCAUUAAAUAUCAAGACUGAUGGUGUUUCAUCUUCAAUUUCUUACUUACAUUGCAUAUCUUAACAAUUUCACUGAUGGGGCAUUAAAAAUCAUGACUGUCAACUAUGAAAAAAUAACGAGGCCUAUGAUGCUAAUAAAGAAUUAUGUUUCCAAAGAAAACAUAAGGUAGUCUUACUUACAUUUUGGCCAGACUUUGAUGGUUAGACGACUGUUGGUGAUUUGGUAUAAUCUUUAUAUGACAAGUGUAUCUGAUGUCGUGUAUCAGUGAUAGAUAUUUGACAUCAAAACAGCAGGUUUUGGUCAAUGGGGUUUCUUCUAGCUCUCUCGCUUCCUCUCAAUUUCCUUUGCAGUGUGUAUUGUGAGAGGUAGCAGGGUCUCAAUUUCCUUUGCAGUGUGUAUUGUGAGACGUGGCAGAGUCUAAUUGACAUGAUGGCCAUGUUUUAGUUACUUGAGGUAUCUUUUAAUGAACUUCAUUCCUUCUGUCUUGCUUUCCAUACAAUAUAACUUAGCAGUGGAAGCUAUGUUUAUGACUCUGUGUAAAGCUGUUUUCUUCAAUAUGGUAUUUAAGGUUAUGUUUUCUCUGUUGUUUGUUCUUAUCAUUUUUUUGUGGUACUGUAUUUACUGUUAUCUUGGACUAAAAUGGUCAUUUUCAUUCUAGACUUACGUUGUUUGUGAGAAGCUGCAUUAACUAGUUACCAUCCUCGGUGUCGAUUUUAUGUUUGUUUUUUUUCUGUACUCAAACAUAACAGCUCUAGGGGAAUUGGUACAUUUUAUGGAUUCAAUUUAGCAUGCAAGUAUGUUGUAGAAAAACAAUUAGCCGGUGUUUGGAAGCAUCAAGGAAAACUCUUAAAUCUCGAUGGAAUAUAAUAGUCGGUGUUUGUUUGUAAAACCUCCCAAAUCUAACCUGACUUAGUAAACCUCUGUAGUGGUAAGAGCUUUUGAUGUGAUCUUAGAAUAUGAAUCAAAAAUUCUUUUUCAUCUAUUAAUGUAUGUAAUAAGAAAUCAGGUCAGCAAGUUAUAUCCUCUAAAUUGGAGAAUGAAAGAAGAGGCCGAGGCAAGGAAGAAGCAAAUCAAAGAAAAUGGCGAAUGACAGAUUAAUCAUGUUGUCUGGCUUGUGAGUUGUGAUUCUCUAACUCCAAAAGCAGCAUCCUGGGAUGCUAUUUAUCCAUGAAACAAACCUGUCUGACUGAAUUCUCAUUAAGUCAUUGAUUGGCUCAUCUGUUUUUUUUUCUUGGUAAUUGGAAGUUUUGAAGCUCUCAUAUAAUAUGUUGGGAUCUCCAGAAUUAUGGUUUUUUUUCUUAAUUUAUUUAAUCACAUUGUAUUUUUUUUUUUUUUUUUUGUGAAGAGACAUUGUAGGUAUGGGGUUUCAUGAUAAAUAGGAUCUUUUUUGGACAACAGUUUUGGCCUAUAUAUAUAUGAUGAACAAUUAUAUAAGUCUAAAAAAGAGAAGAACAUUCUACGACGUUACUGUUUAUAAUCCAUGAUCAAUAAUAGUUUACAAUAACAAGAAUAGAGAAUGGUAUCUAGCAUUUCAUCAAAAAAAAAAAACAAGAAUAAAGAAUAAAGAAUGCUCUCAUCACACUUUGUGAUCUGAAAAAAACUGAAAUGAUAUCCUUUGGUAGCUUCUAUCCAAAACCACGGCCUAUGCUUGGCUUACCAACAGCAUGGAUUGAAAAACCAAGUCCACUAACUGGUGUCCAGUUCCAGUCUGUUCUCAAAUUUUUUGUUCCAUCGAAGAUGUAAGAUGGAUGCCUCAUUACUCCGAAUAAUUGAGUAUAGAGUUGUACAUAAUUCCCAGCAUUCUGAUAUGUAUCAUCAUCUGUUAAGAUACAAAUGGCUGAUGCAUUUGUUGCAGCUCUCACUGGGCUAGUCCUGACUACAACUCGUCCCCCUCUUCUUCUUAAACAUCUUAAAAUAUGAGCUCUGCCAACAUAUGGAUCGUGAAUUCUUAGGAGAACUUUGUGGUUUAGUAACAUUUUGCAAAUAUCCAAGGCAGGUGAGUUCGUCAAGUCUGAUAUAUCAUGUUUAGAAGCUAAACCAAAAAUGGCAACUGUUUUAUUGGUCAUCCCAAUAAGUUUAUCUAGUACCAUUUUAACAAAUCUCUUCCUUGUUGCCUGGUUGUUCUGUAAAACCUUGGCAUAGAGCUGCUUCUCGUCUGUCAAACCAUGAUUAUGUGCUACUUGGCUAAGAAACUGGGUAUCUCUAAUAAGAUUAGGCCCCCCAAAGCCAAUUCCAGCACUUAAAUACGUUGGCCCAAGUCGCUUAUCACGGAGCAUAAUCUCUUUGAUUCUGUUUAUAUUAGCACUUACCCCUGCAGAAAUACUUGCUAUGCUGUUGAGGGUAGAAAUUUUUGAAGCAAGCAAUACAUUGAUACCCAGUUUUGCUAGAAUGACAGACUUGGGGUCUGGAAUUCUAAACACUACGUCAUCGUCAACCCAAUCCAUCAGUUCCCUAAACCCCUGUAAUUGAUUUCCGUUUAAGACUUGAGCAGUCCCUCCAAAUAGGACUUGGCUGGGGACAAGUAGAUCUGUAUAAGCUGUUCCCAAUGAGUAGAACUCAGGAUUGUAAACAACAAUAGGAUCAGCAACCACUCCAUUUUGACGGAAAAUGCGUGUAAUAGUUUCAUUGGCAUCAAUAGGAACAUUAGAUUUCUCAAUGACUAGCUUCCCUGCUGCAUGAUUAGCAACUGCUUCCCAGGAUUUUUCCCAUUUGGUAAGAUUUAAUGUGUCUUCCCCAUUAAUUUUUUGGAUUGGACUAUCUAUUGCCAUGACUAUAUAAUCCGCUGCAUUCAAUGUUGCUGGUAUGUUAUGAUCAUUCCCAAUCAUCAAUUGGACGUUUCUUACUGGAUGAAACAUUGCCUCCAUGUCUGGUUCUUCAAAAGGAAUUAAUCCUGCUUGCCACUGGUCAAUGUGCUCAUUGAAUACAUCCAACAUAGUAAUGACCACAUUUUCACAAUGGUAAGCCAUAAAGAUCAUGGUGAUGCCUGCAGUGUAGCUAGAUCCCAAGCAUGCAAUAUUUAUAACACCGUCAUGGGGUCCUACUGGUCCGGCGUUUUGAUUUUGAUCCAUUGUGUUAUCAGCAGCUCUGAAAAGCUAUAGAAAAGCUUAGAAAAACUAAUAUGAAGUUGAAGAAGAUAAAGAAUAGAGAAUGAGAAUUAAGAACUAAGAAUUAAGAAUAAGAAAGAGUGAGGAAAAACAAUGGCUACGUCCACAUAUAUAUACUGUAUAUUACUACAACAAUACAAUAUAAGGUAAUGGUAAACCUUUGUUAAAUCGUCAUAGGUAUUUCUAAAAUUAACAUUUUGUUGAGUAAUUGGCAAUUCCAAAUAAGACUCUUAUUUCUAAUAAGGGCGAGUAAUUCGGAAUUCUACAGAAUAUAGGAUGGAUUACUUUUUUCCUAGUUACUAAUUUGGUCUAAAACCUAUUGGCUGUCAACAAACAUAUCCGUCACACGUAUUAAUUAAUAAAAGUAAAAAUAAAGAUAAUGCUAUGUUAUUUUAAUUUUGGAAAAAUAAUAAUAAUAAUAAUAAUAUUUUAAUUAAUAAUUAAUUUUGGCUGCUGCUAUUGCCAAGGAUACUUUUUAUAUUGCCAAGUGUUAUUUUUAUAAUUACAAAACUAUCCGUAUCUCACCCAAAGAAGAAAAAAGAAACGGGCAGUUUUAUCAUUUUAGAGGCUAACUCUUGGCAAUAUAAAACAAAUUCUUGGCAAUAGCAGGAGACUUAUGUUUUUUCAGUAAAAUCAAUUAAUAAUUUUGCAUGUACACAAAAACACUAUUUCAAUUUAAUCAACAAACCCUCUUCUUUCUUUCACUCAAAUUUAUACCAACACUUUAAUGUGAGGACCCUAAUUUAAGGUAAGAUGUCCUUUUAACAUUUUAUAAUAUUUGAUCAAACCUGAUCAGGUAGAACGAAAAUGAUGAUUAGACCAAAAAAAAAAAAAAAAUCAAGUGGGGAAGAGUGACCAAGAAACAAUACUUCAUAAAAUGGGAAUUCAAGCAAGACCAUGAAUAGCUACGUUAAUGGGAAUUCAAGCAAGACCAUGAAUAGCUACUAACAUAAUAGAGCAAUAUUGGGCAUCACCUCUAGCAGGGUACACCGAGUAACGUAGGAUUGACGAAAGGUAAUCCUAGAUUCCUAUUGGUAGAAGAGGAUUCUCGCGACGUAGUGUGACACUGUGGUGUAGUACAAAGCUUCCAAGGAGGAAACAUGCUUUGGACUAAGAAAAAAGUGGACUACUCAGCUGAAAAACGAGUUAGCUUAAAGAUCAAGUUAGGCUAAAGCAGGACAAAUCAGUGAAGUCAGUACAUUUGUUAGCUUACAGUACUCAAGUAUGUUUGUAAGUGCUCAGGGCACUUGUAUAGCUCAGGCUCUGUCUGAGGCUCUGAGCUAUAGUGCUCCUAUAAACUUCAAAAAAAUUACUAGUAGUUAACAUUAAUUGCAAUAACAUCAUUGUUUGACAUGGCCCAAACAAACACUCACUUAUGUCCUUUAAACUUGAAUUGAGCAAAUUUCUUUUCCUUUUCUUUUCUUCACAUUCAUAAACAAUAUAUCCCCUUAUGAACAAAAUAAGCCUUUGUAUUAAUAUGCCCAACUACAUUCAAGACACAACGCCUCCUCACAAUGUAUGUAUCUUUUAUUACCUGAAACCUUUUCGUGUAUCUCUUCAUUCCAUUUCUUCGCUUUUGUACCCGGCUUCUUAAGAAGCCACGCUUUUACACCUGCUCUACGAUAAAACAGUUUGAGGACUUCAGCAUCAACAAAAAGGCAGUGCUCGAGAUCUAGUAUCCUAAGCUUAGCAUGACCAUCAAAUAUCAAGAGCGCAUCCAGUGUUAAAGAAGAUUUUUUUAGAGACAAACUCUCAAGUUCAAGAAGAUGUUUUACAAUGAAAGAUGCUGUUUCUGAUCCAAUAAUCCCACAUAGGCCAAGAUGCUGGAGAUUCUUGCAGUAAUUUCCAAGACAACUAAUUAAGUCAGAGCUUCCCCGCAACAUAAAGAUUGGACAAGAGUAUUCUUUAAGAUUCUUCCAGUACGGGAAUGCCAUGUGGUAAGGAUCAAGUCGAAGUAUGUUCAUAUGUAGAAACUUCAAACAAGGAGACCUAGGAUGUGCAUCCAUAUAAAUUAAUUCAUCAGAACAUUUGUCAAACUACAAAAUAUGAGUAAUUUAAGACAGAUAUAGUAGCAAAAGAAAAGCAGUUACGGUCCUCAGACAAUAGAGAUUGAUAUAACGAUUGUUGAAGCCUGAGAAUUGAAGCAUCAGAUUUCCAAUGCUCAACCAUUUUGAUUGACAUAAACAAAUGAAUAAUCAAAUUAAAGUUCUAAAUAUUGAGGCCCUUAAUUUUGAGAAUGAUGAAUAAAAAGUUGUAUAUCUGCCUUUUUUCCAAUACCAAGCUGGGGUUAGGCAAACCCCUACUAGUUUCUAUUGAUUACGAAUAAAAAGGUACUCAAAUACCUAAUUCCAGUGGCAUUAAUGGUAACACUGGUUUAAAUCUCACAGAGGACUUCAUAUCUCCACGCACAUUACUAGUGGCCAAGCUAUUGAUUACGAAUAAAAAGAUAACUUAGGACUUAUACCAUUAAUUGUUGUCACCAAUCAUAGCCAUCGGUCAUCACAUAGAAAACGAGUGUGUCCUGUACCCAAAUUGGUUCAAUCGCAUUAGAGUUAUAUGAGUCAUCUACAAGAGGUGCAAUCCUCCAACCGGCAGACAUGUCAAAACUUGGAGGGAUUUCCCAGUGUGAGAUAAGAUACUCCAGAUAUUGGCAGACACGUCGAUUUGGAGGUACACCUUUGGCAUGUGAGAAUGUUUUAUCAUGGGAAGUAUCCACUGAAGAGACUGGUAUGGUAGACGAGAAAAUCCAAUUCAAGGACAGCUUAUGUACUGUAUUUAUUUAAUACGUGACUCAGUCUAUACCGAUUCGUUUUAUGUCUUUAUUUUGUUAUGGUUACUUUAUAGUUGUUCAUUUCUCUAUAGUACACAUAUUUUUGGGAUUUCAAUCCAUUUUCAACAAAAACUAUCCAUUUUGCCCAACACAAAUAAUAUAAGUAAACUACUUAAUUAAUAAACCAACUCAAAGAGUAAAGAAUGAUUAUCAUAGAUAUAAGAAAGAACCUACAGAUUAAUUGAACAAUUGGAUAUACCUUUGAGCAAUGUACAAGAUGGCAUGUUCCUUGAGCCAAACGGUAUGAGGGGGAACAAAUGUGUGCCACUGAGCUUUGGGGCGGGUAUCCAGCAAAAUUUUAAGAAACCUCAUGUAUUCCUUUCGUAAACAUUCAGGAUAAGUGUCCACUUUGGUCAAAUCAAGCAAUCCAGUGGAAGGAAAUAGAACAUCAAGAACAGCUGAACACCAUGAUUUACACACGCGAGAAAUAGAGUAGAACAUCCACACCAGGGGAAGUCGAAGGAAGAUCUCAACCAAAACAUCAGGAGGUAUUUCAUCCCAUCUUCUUUUGUUUAUUUUCCUUCUUUUUUCUCCCAUUGUUACUGCUAUACUAAAUGAAAAGUAACUAGAUUAGCAAAAUAUAGUGGACCGGGAAAUAGCUGUAAAGUUAGAAAAACAAAUUAACAAAACAAACACAAAUGAAAGGAACCAUUAAUGAUGCUGACAUUGUUGUGCAAGAAGCUUUGGCAAUCAAUGCCAGACUUGCAGCAUUGGAAGUGAACAUGCAAUCUGUGCUAAAGAGAAAAGAUGGUAAGAAGUCCCCCACUAGCAAGGUGAAGAAGAAACAGUCUGACUGUGAGCCUAGUGCUCUUAAGACUAGCUCAGAAUAGUUUUCUUGUAUGCUCUGGUUUUUGGUGAGGGGUAGAUUUAUUACCUCCCAACCCUUUGUUUUGUACUCAAUUCCCCUUUCAAUUUAAUAUAACUUACUUAGCAAAAAGAAAAAGAGCAAAGAUUAAACAUGCCAAAAGCAAUAUUUUAACAUACCAGAAAAAGAGAGAACUUUAAGCAUUCACCCUAACAAUGAGGGGGAAAAAUAAAAAAACCCUACAAAUUAAAUAUUUAAAUGUUGAUGCAAAAUUUUAAAUGUCCUAAUGAACGUAUUUGUGCGCUAAUAGUUGGGAUCAGAAUCUGGAAGGUCUGAGCUGGAGGGAGUUCUGAAGAAGUGGCCACAACUGAACAGCAGCAGGUUAGGGAUGGCAGCCUGGCAGAUUCUCCCUUAUGCUGUGAUAUGGUGUACUUGGAAGGCGAGAAAUCACUCAUCUUCAGAGGACAGGGCACCAACUUGAACAACCUGAUUAAAAGCAUCAAGCUGACAACAUGGGCAUGGAUUGAAGUGGCUAAGGAUGGAACAGAGCUGAAGCGUGGGCACUCAGUUAAAGAGCUCUUGCUGGACUGGGCAAACUCCAUCACAGGGGACUGAGAAGGUGUUACAAGAAGGUAAGAAAAGCAGUACAAGCAGCUUGCAGGGAGCCAGAGCUGUGCAUUGGGUUUUUGUCUAUCUGACAACUAUGUUUUUUCUGUGCACAAUCAAAUGUAUAGUCAGGGACUGGGAGUAGGAUUAUUGUUUUACAUGGAAAUGUACUGGGGUAUGUAACUGGCAAUGCUAAUUUGCAAGCUGACCAAUAUGACAGCAAAUUGGUUUGAGAAGCAACUGGAUUUGGAUAAAUUGUUUUGUAAAGUUUCAGACAGAUUAGUGCUAUAUAUACAUGCAAUGACUAUUGGAAAAACAAUUGAAAAGGCCAAACAUAACAACUCCAAAUCAAAACCACAUAUAUGAUAUAUCUCUUCUGUUUUCGCGGAAGAAUGGAAAGGAGUGCAAGUGCACAGUUUGGCUACUGUUGUCGCUGAUGUACCAAUAUACCAUCAGCGAAGAUACACCAGAUGUGGAAUGACACUGGACACUGGAGUCUUGCCAAUCUGGUUAGUUGAAGUGUUGCAUUGAAUUGCCUAUUGACAGGGUUUUUUGGUAAUAUACCAUGUUGGUGACUAGGUGGUAGUGGUCGGGGAGGGGUGACCAUCUUUGGGAUUUUAGUUCAUACUAAUACAGAUACUAUUCUCUGGUUCUAGUCGACAGAAAGUUCAAAAUCACCACAUAUGACAAGACGACUGCAGGGUCUGCAGCUUCCUGAUUGACCUCUUGGUAGAGCUCUACAGGCUAAAAUCCAUCACUAUAGGCGAAGUUGUAGUAUAUUGAGAAGGGUGAGUUAGUUUGAAACUUUGAAUCAUGGUGUAAAAAUAUUUCAGCAUUACAUAACAUCUCAUACGAAAUAUGUAUAAAUCAGUAAUCACAUCUACUUGCACAAAAUCAGGAAGAAGAAGGUUAGGCUAUUAAAAAAAAAAAAAAAAAAGAGAGAGAAGAGAAACCUGACGAUUUUUAUUCCACUUCUUGUUAGUAUUACUUACUGGAUUACAACUGAUCUGAAAUCCAUAAUUCUUCUAGCAACUUAGCAUGUUAGCAAGCACAAUGGCUGAAUUUAGUUUAAAAGGGAGUUAUUAAUGGUAUUAGGUUAAACAAUAGUAUUAGGUUAAAUAAUGUCGGAUCGGUCCAAUUUGUAUUACAAAGCCCACAAUGAAUAAAUGUUUAUUUAAGCCCAUUGGUUCUUUAGUAAUGCCCAGCCCAUUUUGAAAGAUAGUGGGAAGAAGAACGUCACAGUUCCGAUAAGUUAGAAUGAAAAAAAGUUAUUUCAUUUUGUUGGUCGUUUUUUUGCUAAAGCUCAAUUUGUAGGUCAUCUUUGAUCGCGUUUUUUAAACUAGGUUGCCAUUAAAAAAAUCUUGGUAUCAUAUUAAGUUUUAUUAUUGUGAAAAAUCAGUUCAAACUAUCAAAACCAAUAUUAAAAAAUAAAAAUAUCACAUUUUACGUAUAAAUAUUGUGCAUGUUACAAAAUAAAACUAAUUCUUGCAAGGAGGCAAAGGAGAACCACAAAGACAAUCAUUUCCUAGAAACGCCUUAACUGCGAAUUUCGUCGCUGGAAUUGGACCACAUAGAUGAUUAUGACUUAAGUCUACCUUCUCCAACCUUGAAAUGUUUUGCGGCACUUUUCCAAAUAUUUGAUUUCGAGCUAAAACCAAUGUCUUUAGGCCAUUGGGUAAUCUCAAAUCUGACAAAUUAAACCGUAACUGAUUACCUGAUGCCCAGAAUCCUUUCAACAAUGUAGUCUCAUUCAUCAACCCAACUGGAGUACCCGAAAUUUGGUUAUCGGAUAAAUCUAUGUAAUCAUAGAAAUAUUUUUCUCUUGGCUUAAAAUCCUCCAACCGAAAUUUUAACCCGCAUCCAGCAAGCUUGAGUGAGUAAAUGAGAGCUGAGGAUUCAACCCAUUUUGGAAUUGUACCUAAAUUGAAUUUGUUGUAAGAAAGAUCGAGCCCUUCGAUCUUUUUUACAUUCAUUUCAGGGAAUGGAUCCACCAAAUGGUUAUGUCCAAGUUCCAGAUAUAAAAUGUCUGUGAGAUUUUUGAAAGUGGUUGGCACAACACCUGUCAAUUGAUUGGAUGAUAGAUCAAGCCUGUCGAGUGUUUGGAAAUUACCAAGGUAGUUUGGUAUAUUACCUGCUAGUAAGUUAUGGCCAAGGUUAAGAAGUUCGAGUCUUGGUGCCAAAAAUGAAAUGGUAGGGGGAAUCUCACCAGAGAGCUUGUUGUGAGAGAGAUCUAAUUCUCGGAGGGAAGUGAAUGAUGUAAAGAAAUUUGGAAUUUUACCAGAAAGUUGAUUCUUCUCGAGAUUUAGAAAAACCAAGUUCUUCAUUUGUUGAAUUCCAGAUGGAAUAGGACCAGAAAAUAAGUUACUACCAAGAUCAAGGUCACGUAAAUGGACAAGUUGAGAAAUAGAACUAGGAAUUGAACCAGUGAAUCGGUUUUCAGAUAGACUUAAACCGACAAAUUGUUGUGGAUGAAGUUUUUGGCCUAUAUCCAAAGGAAGUGGACCAGAAAGUUUAUUGUUAUCAAGGUAAAGCUGGUUUAAAUCUGGAAGAUUGAAAAUGAAUGUUGGGAAUGUACCGGUUAAAUUUCGAAGAUGUUGAAGAUAAAGACCUUGUAAAUACCGGAGUUUUGAUAGAGAAGGUGAUAUUGUACCUGUUACAAAAAAGUUUGGAUCACUUUCACCAAACAAUGACAAGCUUGAAACACGCUUGUUGCUAUCAAGGCACUCAAUGCCAGACCAUGUGCAACAAUCUGUAGCAGGUAUCCAUGAACUAAGCAUGCCAGUUGGGUCUUGAGUAAUGCCUGAUUUGAAAGCUAGUAAGGCAGUUUCAUCAUCAACGUGACAUUUUGCAAAGCAUGUAUAUGCAGAGAUUGAAAAGCAGAGAAAUGCUAGAGCAAGAAGAGAAGAAGUACUGGAAGUGAAUGCCAUAUUGAAUUGAUGUGAUCUUUAAGCAAUGAGAAAGGGGGUUUAUAUAAGUUUUCUUUCUUGGUUGCAAAGAGCACGUUAUGUUGAAGAUGCGAUAUGGGUCGUCAAGUGUGACGGCUGCGUUUUGGUCUGAUGAGAUAAGAGUGGAUAAGGUCAAUAAAAUCAAUUUUGCAUACAAAGAAGGGAAAUGCUAUACUACUGUAGCAAAGAAUAUAUAACUUUAUGGGAAAAUGUGGGAGACUGAACUCAGUCAUAAACCAGCAGCUACUACGCAACUUGGAGGCACUGGGUUUCGGAUUUGAUAAAGAUGAAUUCUUCAUACCUCAUGCUUUAUUGAUUAUAUUUCUAAUAAAACUUGGGAAUGCAAAUGAAAUGAAUUAAAUAGAUGUGCAUGUUACAUGUUGGGUUAAAUUUAUUCAAAGAAAGGUCAUCAAUGGCUCACUGCCAGUGAGUGGAUUGAGAUAAUGUUGGUAGGACAAGUUGUCUGCAGUUUUAUGUGUUUUGGAUAAUAUUACUGCUAUAUGUUGAUUGGAGAUGUUGGCAUGGUUUAAACUUUAAAAGUAACAACUAGCUUGUAGUUUCAGAUUAACUUUGAGCACACCUGAACGGCUGAACGGGCUGAACAUAUGAACUGUACUGUAGAGAUAUAAAAGAAACAAACUAGCUAAUAACUGCACAUAUACACACAUGCAAAAAGCAGGUAACAUAUGUUUGAGGCAAGUAUUAAUCCUCCAAAGUUCAAACUCUCACAGACUUUUUUCUGAACUCAAUGUGUAUAUGCAUGAAAAGAAACUGUCAGUCUGUCACAUUUAACCUUCAGAAUUGAAAGAACCAACUGUUUGGUAAGUUUUCAUCAGUAAAAAUUAAUAGACCAAUCUUUGUGUAAACAAGAACACAGAUUGUAUUGUAUCUUAGCACUACGAAAACAAGGUCUGAGGCUCUAAGCAACUCUUCGCACACUUAGACGCUUGUUGAUCCACCAAAAUCAGCACAUUCUACUACAGGAGUUUAUGAUGUCAUACACUUGGACACUCGGUAUCAUGAUCCUCUAUGGCUCCCAAUGAUGUUCUCCAAUCCACCUUUCUGUCUAAUUGACUAAUUAAAUCUGCAUACACACCGAAACAAUCCAUAUUCAAUUUAGAUUGCGUGACAAUGAAAAUAUGGGGAUACAUAUGCAUAUGUGUUUCUAGCAAAAUGAUCCAUUUGACCAUUCCAGCUCAGCUCAAGCAUAUCAUUUGAGAAAAACCUUUCAUUUUGAAAUUGAAAGAAUGAAUAUAUAGGCAAUUGGUUACAAAGCAUACUUACCAAGUGUUGGAUACUUAGGAGGAGAAGGAUGCUGGCUUGAAUGUGAUGUGUUGGUGCGUUCAUGGCGAGACCCAUCUGUUUAAUUUCAAGGCAAAGAAAACAAACCAUAAGAAAUAACUUUCCAUUUUGAAAUUGAAAACUGUAAAUGUAAAGGAAAUUGUUUACAAAACUUACCACCACCCCAGUACUGAGGAUCGGAAACUAGAUAUUGGCUUGACUGUGUUGUCUUGGGGAGUGCAUAGAGAUGCCCACCUGUUUAAUUUCAACCCAAAUUAAGAAAAAGAAAAAAAAGCAAAUGAAAUAACUAACCUUUUUUUCGCUAAAACCAUUGAAAACCCCAAAAUUCCUUAAAACCAUCCUAUGUGGCACCACUAAAAGUGUUUUACCAUUGGGAAUGCUCUAAUCUUUUUGGAAUUGGAAGAUUUUAAAUUUAUUUAGGAAAGAUUGUUGACAAACUUACCUGUACCAUCAUAAUCAAAAUAGCCCCAGUACGGAGGAUCAUCGGAAACUGAAUAUUGGCUUGACUGUCUUGCAUGGAGGCUAACAUUAUGUGUUUGUGCAUGUUGUGGUUGCAUGAUUGGAGGAGUGACAUAGUUUUUUUGUGUUUGUGCAUCAGUAGAAACAUCUUUUUGAUUGUUCAAUAGACCAUCACCAACAAUCCUCUUAGUAUUAUUCCUCAAAGUGUGCCUGAACCUGCCAUCACCACCAACAUCAUCUCUAAUUCCAAUAUCAGUGUUUGCAGUAGCAUUAUAGCUUUGGCGACCAUUAUCAUUACCGCCAUCACCAAGACCAACACCAACACCAUGAUUAUUCCCAGUAACAUCGUUUCGCUCAGUCUUUAGUAAUUUGAUCUCAUCGCGAAGUUUAAGCAUACGAAACUUAAGUUUCUUAUUCUCUGCCUCAAGUUCUUUAUUCUCAAAUUUAAGUUUAUUAGACUUGGCGCAAAUUUCCUUAUACUUAACGUAAGGACCACCAAUGGGAUCUUUCAACCAGCAUUGCCCUUCCCAUACUAGCGAAUCGAUAACUUUACUACAUUCCUCUGUACUAUUGAAUGAACUUCUGAGCUUUUCAACUUUUUCUUUACCUAAUUUCGAGACCACCGCUUCAUAUUCCCUCAAAUAAGGUGGAUUUUCUGGUCUUACUACAUUAUCGUUGUUGAUCUUGCGUCUCUGAGCAUCAGUCACUUGGUUAAUAAUGUUUCUUUCUGCAAAAGCAUUAUACCCUUGUUCAUCAGUGUGAUUAAGAUUAACAAUGUUAUUGACUUCUGCUUCAUUGGCAUCUUUUUGCACCUUAUUCAUAUGUAUUCUUUUUCUUAACAUCUUGUAUCUAAAAUUCUCAACAGUGCUUAAAGAAUCAAGGGAAAUUAGAAGUAGCAAGAAAAUCUAGAAUCAAGGAAUUGAAACACAGAAAUUGAAUUUCUUGAAGAAGAAGUAUUAGAAUUAGGGUUUAAUCAAGAAAUAUCGUAUUCAAGAAAUAGAAUCAAAGAAUUGAAAGAACGAAAAUGGAUUUUUGCAAUUCAAAGAUAGAAGAUGUAGAAGAAGAAGAAUUGGAGUUAGGGUUUCAGAAAACGAUGGUUUGUUGUAAGAAUUCGUGAGUUGAAAUAUCUCAAAAAGAAAGAACUCGAAAUUUCAGACAGAACGAAGAGCACUAAAUCAUCUCUCUCACAGAAAGAAAAGAAUUGCUGAACAAGGAAAGCAGAGAACGAACAACUCUCUCAAGACUCAAGUGAUUCGAGCGGGACCAUUAUGGGUCUAGGCCCAAUAACUAUCUCCGAGCUCGGUCCAGUCCACUAGCCCAGCCCAUUUUAAUGGGAAAUUUUACUAGUAGUAGUAUAAAAACAAAUUUUGUUAUUGUAUAAAAAUCAGUUCAGACUAAUAAAGUAUUAAAGUAUAUAGAGAUUUUUGGACAUACCCCCAUUUGAAAGUCGAAAUUUGAGAUACCCCAUUUUAAAAAAUAUUUGAGAUACCCCCAAUUCAAGACAGAAGAGCUUUACAGCCGUAGGUGAGUUUUAUGAUGGAUUAUGAUGGACGGCUAAGAUAACACCACAUCUUGAAUUGGGGGUAUCUCAAAUAUUUUUUCAAAUGGGGUAUCUCAAAUUUCGACUUUCAAAUGGCGGGUAUGUCCAAAAAUCUCAAGUAUAUAUAUAUGUGAACUAUUGCAACCAACAAAAAUGAAAAGAGUCACUUUAUUAGCAUAUCCCCUUAUUAUUGUGGGUGUUACAAAUUACAUUACUUCUUGCAAGCAGGCAAAGGAGAAUCACAGAGACAAUCAUUCCCUAAAAAUGCUUCAGCUUUGAAUUUCAUCGGUGGUAUUGGACCGCAUAAAUGAUUAUGUCCAAGUUCUAGAUGUAAAAUGCUUGUGAGAUUUCUAAAAGUUGUAGGCACAACACCUGUCAAUUGAUUGUAUGAUAGAUCAAGCCUUUCGAGUUUUUCGAAAUUACCAAGGUAAUCUGGUAUUUUACCUGUUAGUAAGUUAUGACCAAGGUUGAGAAGUUCGAGUCUUGGUGCCAAAAAUGAAAUGCUAGGUGGAAUCUCACCGGAGAGCUUGUUGUGAGAAAGGUCUAAUUCCCGGAGAAAAGUCAAUGGUGUGAAUAAAUUUGGAAUUUUACCGGAGAGUUGAUUCUUCUCGAGUUUUAGAAAGACCAAAUUUUUCAUUUGUUGAAUGCCAGAGGGAAUUGGACCAGAAAACUGGUUGCCAGCAAGAUCAAGGUCACGUAAAUGGACGAGUUGAGAAAUAGAACUUGGAAUUUGACCAGUGAAUUGGUUUCCAGAUAGAGUUAAAGUGACAAGUCGUCGAUAAAGUUUUUGGCCUAUAUCCAAAGGAAGUGAACCGGUAAGUUUGUUAUUAUCAAGGGAAAGUCCAUUUAGAUCAGGAAGAUCGAAAACGAAGGUUGGGAAUGUGCCGGUUAAGUUUCGAAGAUUUUGAAGUAGAAGACCUUGUAGAUAUCGAACUUUUGAUAGAGAAGGCGAUAUUGUACCUGAUAAAGUAAAGUCAGGAUCACCUUCUUCAUACAAUGACAAGCUUGAAACACGUUUGUCCUUAGCAAGGCACCAUAUGCCAGACCAUGUGCAACAAUCUGUACCAGGUAUCCAUGAACUAAGCUUGCCCAUUGGAUCUUGAGUAAUGCCUGCUUUGAAAGCUAGUAAGCCAGUUUCAUCAUCUAUGUGACAAUUUGCAAAGCAAGUAUAUGCAGAGAUUGAGAAGCAGAGAAGUGUUAGAGCAAGAAGAGAAGUUGCACUACUGGAAGUGAAUGUCAUAGUGAACUGAUGUGGUCUUAACUCUUAAGCAAUGACAAGGGUUUUAUAUAAGUUCCAGUAGUGUUUCUUUGUUCAAUGCAUGGCAUAAGCACCAAAAUAAUGAUCAUAACACAGUAUGAGUUCUGAGUCAAGUCUGGCUGCUGCGUUUCUGGAUACCAGCUGUUUACGUGCCUACAUUCAUUUCAUUUAAAAGUUAAAACAAUCAACAAUGUAUCAAAACAUAAGAGGAUUAUUUCAAGAGUUAGCUUGGUCUUCAACUGUUGGUAGCACUCAAAGCAGAAGUCGAUAAAAUUUUACCCUGUAUAAACAAGAAAUGGAUCCAAAAUUGUGUUGCUUUUAAUAUAAACAAAGAUAUGGAACAUUUUUGUUUUUUUUUUAUAACCUUAGAUAUGGAACAUUAACGGACAGUAUGAUGAAUGUUUCUCGUGGAGAAAAAUGCAAAUGAAAAAAAAUUAAUCGACAAUAUAUGUAGGCGGCCGUGUCAAUUUAUUCAAAGAAAGAUCAUCACUGUCUAGAGAAAGUGGAGAUAAUGAUGGGAAAUUGGAUAUCUAUAGACAAGUUGUGUGCGCUUUUGGAUGUUCAUAUGGCCUUGAUUAUAGUUUAAUUGUGAUCAUCUUUGAGCAGAUGUGAACAUAGUCUCAUAGACUGCUGCAUUCAUACAUUCAUUUUAUAAUCUACUCAAAUAAGUUGUUUAGCUUGUUUUCUAGUCACAAUGAUAAUUAACUUGACAUUCAAAUUAAUUCCUGCAUGGAGGCAAAGGAGAACCACAUAGACAAUCAUUUCCUAUAAAUGCUCGCACUGGCAACUUCGUCGUUGGUAUUGGACCACAUAAAUGAUUAUGACUUAAAUCUCCCUUCUCCAACCUUGAAAUGUUCUGCGGCACUUUGCCAAAUAUUUGAUUUCGAGCUAAAACCAACGUCUUUAGACCAUCAGGUAAUCUCAAAUCUGACAAAUUAAACUGUAACUGAUUACCUGAUGCCCAGAAUAGUUGCAACAAUGUGGUCUCAUUCAUCAACCCAACUGGAGUACCCGAAAUUUGGUUAUCCGAUAAAUCUAUAUAAUUAAAGAAAUGUUUUUCACUUGGCUUAAAAUCUUCCAACCGAAAUUUUAACCCGCAUCCAGCAAGCUUAAGCGACUGGAUGAGAGUAGAUGAUUCGACCCAUUUUGGAAUUGUACCUAAAUUGAAUUUGUUGUAAGAAAGAUCGAGACUUCCAAAAUUAAAUUUGACAAUCAUUUCAGGGAAUGGGUCGACCAAAUGGUUGUGUCCAAGUUCAAGAUAUAAAAUGUCUGUGAGAUUUCUAAAGUUCUUUGGCACAACACCUGUCAACUGAUUGUAUGACAGGUCAAGCCUGUCAAGUUUUUGGAAAUUACCAAGGUAAUCCGGAAUUUUACCUGUCAGUAAGUUAUAGCCAAGGUCAAGAAGUUCAAGUCUUGGUGCCAAAAAUGCAAUGCUAGGUGGAAACUCACCGGAGAACUUGUUGUGAGAGAGAUCUAAUUUUCGAAGGAAAGUUAAUGGUGUGAAGAAAUCUGGAAUUUUACCGGAGAGUUGAUUUUUCUCGAGAUUUAAGAAAACCAAAUGCUUCAUUUGCUGAAUGCCAGAUGGAAUCAGACCAGAAAAUAGAUUACUACCAAGAUCAAGGUUACGUAAAUGGAUGAGUUGAGAAAUAGAACUCGGAAUUGGACCAGUGAAUUGGUUUUGAGACAGACUUAAAUCUACAAGUCGUCGAUAAAGUUUCUGGCCUAUAUCCAAAGGAAGGGGACCGGAAAGUUUGUUGUUAUCAAGGGAAAGUGUAUUUAGAUCCGGAAGAUUAAAAAUAAAUGUCGGGAAUGUUCCAGUUAGGUUUUGAAGAUUUUGAAGAUUAAGACCUCGUAGAUAUUGAACUUUUGACAGAGAAGGUGAUAUGGUACCUGAUAAAGAAAAAAUGGGGUCGGUUCCUUCAUACACUGACAAGCCAUAAACACGCUUGUUAGCAAGGCACGUUAUGCCGUUCCAUGUGCAACAAUCUGAACCAGAUAUCCAUGAACUAAGCAUGCCCAUUGGAUCUUGAGUAAUGCCUGCUUUGAAAGCUAGUAAGCCAGUCUCAUCAUCUACGUGACAUUUUGCAAAGCAAGGAUAUGCAGAGAUUGAGAAGUAGAGAAGUGUGAGAGCAAGAAGAGAAGCUGCACUACUGGAAGUGAGUGUCAUAGUGAACUGAUGGUUUCUUAGGCAAUAUGAGAAGGGCCUGUAUAUAAGUUCCAGCUAGAGCACCAAGAGAAGAAGCACUCGAUCAUGACACGACACGGUGUGAGUCAAGUCUGACUGCACACUGCAUUUUGGUCAAAAUUGAAUGAAGAGUGGAUAAGAUUUUCUUGUUUGAUGGAAAAUGAACCGAGUACGCAUAUACUCAUAUCAUAUACCAGCUAAUCAUCCAGCCACUGGUUUGUGAAUUUGAGAAAGUCUUAAAGUAGCAAGUCGAUAAAAUUUUCGCCUGUACAAACAUGAAAUGGACCCAAAUUAUGUUGUUUUUAUUGUAAACAAAAUGUAGAUAAGGAAUUAAUAUUAUAAUUGAUUUUGAUUAAUAAGAUGCCGAUUAUAUUUUGGUGCAAUGAUUGUUUGUUUCUGGUGGAGAAGAUUGAAUGAAUGGACAGUAGACGUAGGGCGGCAGUGUCAAUUUAUUCAAAGAUUGUGGAGAUAAAAUGAUGGGAAAAUGGAUAUCUAUAGACAAGUUGCGUGCGCGCACUUUUGGAUCUUCACAUGGCCUUAAUUAAACCAUUAAGUAGUAGCAGAUGUGAACAUAUACAUUCUUUUUAUAGUUCACUAAAAAAGUUGUUCAGCUUGCUUUAGUGAUCGAGCUCAAGGCAAAGUUUCUCAAGCAGAGGCUACAGAGUAAACUAGAUUCAACAACAAGAUAAGUAAUGCCGAAAUAUCACCUCUUGCAAUGACAUUAACCGCUACAUUGAAACAUUAUUUUACAUUGUUCACGAUCAACAUAAGGAUAACAUAAAACCCUAUUUCUUGCAUGGAGAUAAAGGAGAACCACACAAGCAAUCAUUUCCUAGAAAUGCCUGAACUGGAAACUUGGUCACCGGAAGUUGGCCACACAAAUGGUUAUGACUUAAAUCUACCUUCUUCAAUCCAGAAAUGCUCUGCGGAACUUUACCAAACACUUGGUUUCUAGCCAAAACCAAAUUCUUUAAGCUCUUGGGUAUCAAGAUAUUCGACAUAUUAAACCGUAACUGAUUACCUGAUGCCCAAAAGCCUUUUAACAAUGUGGUCUGGUUCAACAAACCAACAGGACUACCCGAAAUUUGAUUAUCCGAUAAAUCAAUAAAAUCGUAGAAAUAUGUUUGUGUUGGCUCAAAAUCCUCUAACCGGAACUUCAACCCACAUCCAGAAAGCUUGAGUGAAUAUAUAAUAGGUGAUGUUGCAACCCAUUUUGGUAUUGUACCUAAAUUAAAUUUAUUGUAAGAAAGAUCGAGCGAUUCGAUCCCUCUUACAUUUAAUUCAGGAAAUGGAUCCACUAAACGAUUGCGCCUAAGAUUAAGAUUAAAAAUCUUAGUGAGAUUCUUAAAACUUAUCGGUACAGUACCUGUCAGUUGAUUCGACGACAGGUCAAGUGUGUCGAGCCGUUGGAAAUUGCCGAAAUAAUCCGGAAUUUUACCAGUAAGAAGAUUAUGGCUAAUCUCAAGAGAUCCAAGUUGUGGUGCCAAUGCUGAAAGUGUAGGUGGCAAUUCACCAGUGAGCUUAUUGUAAGAGAGGGUUAAAGCUCGGAGUUCUGAAAAUGAUGUGAAAAAAUCCGGUAUUUUACCGGAAAAUUGAUUCUUCUCGAGAUUUAAGUAAGUCAAGUUCUUUAAUUGUCGAAUUCCAUCGGGAAUUUGACCAGUGAAAAAAUUACCAUCAAGUUUAAGCUGAGACAAAUGAGUGAGUUGAGAAAUAGAACUCGGAAUUGAUCCGGUAAAUCGAUUUCCAGAUACACUUAAAGCAUAUAAUCGGAAAAGUUUACCAAUAUCAUCAGGAAGUGGACCAGAAAGCUGACUGUUUUCAAUAUAAAUGGUACUUAAAUCGGGAAGAUUGUAAAGGAAUAUCGGAAAUGUGCCGGUAAUGUUUCGGAGAUUUUGAAGUUGAAGAUCAAUUAAAUAUCGGAUUUUUGAAAGUGAAGGCGAUAUUGUACCUGAUAAGAAACCUUUCGGGUUUUCAACUUGACCAUAAAGUGAUAUACGUGUGACUCGUGUACCAAAACCAUCAAGGCAUGAAAUACCAGACCAUUUGCAACACUCUGUGCCGGAUUUCCAUGAACUAAGUAUUCCUGAUGGAUCUUGAGUUAUUCCAGAUUUGAAAGCUAGUAAACCAGUUUCAUCAUCUAUAUGACAUUUUGCUAAGCAAUGUAGAGAGAAAACUGAUGAGAGUAAGAGAAGAAGUAGAGUGAGAAAACGAGAAACGAAAACGAACGACAUUUUUAUUUGUUUGAUUCUCUAUAAUUGAGCUUUAUUUAUAAUGAAAAGUUGGUGGUACAUCAAGAUCAUCAUAACUAAGCAUUGAGAUUUUGUUAAGAUUGAUCACUAUGAUAUGUCUAACGUUGAAUCUUUGUUUGACUAAUCCGACAUAUCAGUAUGGUGCCACUGACACUUAAAUUGAUGACAUCAUCGGUCAAGUCUGAUGGCUGUUUUCAAGUCAAAUUGAUUGUACAAAUUAGAUAUGCAUAGAAUGGAAGGAUCUUAUUUUUAUCCAUAGCAUGAUUAAGUGGCACUUUGUAGGGUUGGGACUUGGGACACGUGAGAGAGAAAAGAACCAUACAUCACCCUUUGUCAAUUGUCCCUUCUGAAAUGUAAUAUCCAUGUCCACGAAUACAUGAUAUCUUUUUGUAGGGCAGUUAUCUUUUCUUCUUUGCAAUGGUAGUUCAUGAUUAUUUUCCAAGUGAAAAAAAAAAGUUACAUCCAUGAGUACUAUACAGAUGGGUUAUACAGAAUUACAUAUAGAGAUUAUAGGUUAGACUGUAUGUACAGAAUUAUAUGUUCGAUUUGGUUUUGGGUGUUCGAAAAUUUUUGAACCUACAAACGAAUACCAAAAGCAAGUGUUUUAAAAAACAAAAAUUACAACCGAAUAAAAAAACAUGCAAACACCUUAUUUUUUGGUUUGGAUCUGUUUAAAUUAGUUCGAUUUACAUGUUUUGGAUCGGUUUUGCCCAACCCUGAUAGACAAGGGCAGAACCUGUUAUUGUGUGUUGGAUGUUGUCAAGCGGGCCUACCCUUGGUUGUCAUGGCCAUCCUUGUCACCUUGUGAUAAGGUUGAAGGGGGCCAUAAGAUACAUUUUUUUUUUUUUUUUAAUCUAUUAUACUAUAUUAAAGCAGAAAAUACCCCCAAGAAAAUAUCUCUUCAAUUAGGCUAUCAAUUAGAUUGAAAUUGAUAGCCUAAUUGAAGAGAAUUUUGAUUAAGUUUGGGUAUAUUUGUAAUUACGCAAAAGUGGACCACCAUCACAGAUAUAAUUAAGCCCAGUUAGACCAUGGGAAUAAUUAAGCCCAAUAAAAAAAAUUAAAAGAAUACCCAAUCCCAAGUAUAAUCAAGUCCAACCCAUACCCAGUUGGACCAAAUCACAAGUAUAAUUAAGCCCAGUAAAAAAAAUUAAAAGUAUACCCACUCCCAAGUAGAAUAAAAUAUACUAAAACCUCGAUAAAUUAAUAGCCUUGGGAAUAGAGAAAAUUAUUAAUUAAACGAGAUAUUAAUUUAUCGAUUAAUUAAUAAACUAUUAAUUUACAUAAACAAUAUAUUUUCAUGUAUAUCUUUCUUUUUAGGGGGCUAACAUGAUGAAGCUGGAUAAUCAUUUUAUUCUAGAACCCGUUCCACGAAAAGAAACACUAAAAUCGAUAAUGAUAUUGGAAUAAUUUCUUCUUGCAAUACAAAAUACAACAUCAGAUCAACUCAUCACACUACAAAAAUUUAGAGACGAGGUUCAAACCAAAAUCAAUUUUGAGAAAAAAAAAUAAUAAUUGACUUUCAUUAUAAAAAAAUAUAAAAUAUAUUUAUAUAUCAAAAAAAUAUUAAUUUAUAUAUUAGUUGGGCCUUCAAUGAUUUUUCUAAAAUGUAUUAAUUAUCUAAUAAAUUUAGCGAAAUAUUAAUUUAUAAACAUAUGCCCAAGUUGGGACCAGCCAAAAAUAUUAUUUAAAGGAGAUAAUUAAUUUAUCGGGUAUUAUCUUAUCGAGGUUUUAUUAUAUCUUUUCAAUUAUGCUGAAAUUGAUAACUUAAUCGAAGAGAAAUUCAAAACUCACCAAGAUUUACAUUGAAAUCACCAAAUGAUUUAUUACGUUUAUACAACUUCUCCAUCUUCCUCUUCACUCAAAGUCUAUGUCUGCUUAUAUGCUUAUAUUUGAUCCAUGUAUAUUUGAUGUUUGUUGAAGAUCUCUCGACGACACAGAAAUCAAAACUCACCAGUAUUCUAAGUCAAAUGGGCAGCUAUGCAAGUUUAUUAAUAAGAUCAUUAAUAAUAUUAAUAUGAUAUUAUUGUGGACACAUGUCAAACAUGUUUGUGAUGGUCAUUUUCAAGUACAUUAUCAAUUUGACAAAAAGUAUAUUUUGCAAGAAUAUGGAGAACCAGUAAUCUAUUUCUUUUCCUUGCACUUAGUAGGCAUUGACAAAAAGUAAAUAAAAAUAAAAAAUAAACUCCAAUAAAAAUGAUGAUAUAAUCUUCAAUACAUUUCAAUGGUGGGGAUACGAAAAGGGACCCAAGUAGCAGUAAGACUUAUUUACUGCAAUUUCAUGAAAUUUGAGUUUCCCUUAAUUUGUGAUCUAAUGUACGUAAAUGUGUUGCAGAUGGGACUAUAUCAAAAAAUAUCGUAAGAUUCACACAGACAUGGAUUAUAUGGUUGCCUUCCGGAAAUGCUUAACUACAUGGGCCUAACGGGAUCUCUCCGUCACAUUACAAGUAAGUCAUCUUUAUCAUCAUAAUAGUUUGUUAAAUAUUUCGAAUUUUCAUGGUGUUAACUGUUACAAGCUAAUUAAGAGACGCUCGACUGCUAAUGGACUACUGUGAAAAGAUUGUUUCCCAAAGUGAUGAAGCCUCAACAACCGAACCAGACUAAAUUCUAAUUGAGACUUUGAGACUUGAGAGUACUGCAAAAUCCCAUUCGCCUAGAUAUCUUCAAAUGUUUUGGGUUUAAUUUCCAUGUAUAUAUAAUAAUCAUUUAAUUUCAAUACUCAAAGAUUUAUAAUAAUUCUAAAUGAAAUCAUACCAGAUCAUAGACUUUUGAAACGGGCUAAACAAAAUAUUACAAGUUACAUAAACCCCCCCCCAAAAAACUCUAAAACAAUCAGAUAUGCCCGUGCAUUGCACGGGCCUAAGGACUAGUAUAUGAAGUAGAGCAUGAAUUGAUUGAACUAAAUGUUUACCAAAAAAAAAGAAAAAUUAAAUGUUUUGGUAUUUUGAUCAUCAUGAAAAAAUAAAAAAAUUGAUCACCAUGAGUGACCGAGUGUUAAUGUUUGUGUCAAUGUGUCAUUGUGUGUUGGACGUUGGAUGUUGUCAAACCUGCCCAAUUACACGUACUUAGUUAUAGUCUUAUAGGCUUUAUUAUGACCCGGCCCUAAUACGACGAACAAAUAAAGGUUGAACUAAUGGUCCAACCCGGCCCAUAUGACAUCACCGCAAUGCGGGAACAUUCACCUAACACGAUACCGCGUAAAGAAAAAGCAAAAAGAAAAGUGCGAAAAACCGAAUCAAUUCCAUUGACGAACUUCAUCACAAUUCACCAAGAAGAAAUAAGAAGAGAAAGAUCAACACAGAGAGAGAGAGAGAGAAGAGAGAUUCAAGUUUCAGUCGAUCAGAUCUUACAUCGUACUCAGCGUAUUUUAGUAUCCAAACAAACACUAGAAAGAUGAGUUUUUUGUUCGGCAAGCGAAAAACACCUGCAGGUAUAUUAACAUAUAUGUUUGAAUUAAUCGUUUUAAUAUGUUUUUUGUUUCAAUUUGAUGAUUGAUUGAUUGUUAUUUUUUAGAGCUUUUGCGAGAAAAUAAACGAAUGAUUGAUAAGUCAAUUCGAGAAAUUGAAAGAGAAAGACAAGGUUUACAAACACAAGAGAAGAAACUUAUUGUAGAAAUUAAGAAAAGUGCUAAGCAAGGACAGAUGGUAGAGUAUUCAAUUAUUUUGAAUUUUUUAAAAUUUGCUUACAUGAUUUAAGAACUUUGUGGUUAAUAGAUUCAUCAAUUUGAAUUAAGAUGUGUUGUUUUGAUUUAGGGUGCGGUGAAAGUUAUGGCUAAGGAUCUUAUUAGAACUCGACAUCAGGUUGAAAAGUUUUACAAACUUAAAUCUCAGCUCCAAGGUGUAGCUCUUAGAAUUCAGGUACUACUACUGUCUUUUGAUUUUAUACGUUUUCUUUUGUUCAAUUAUGUCUAAUGCUUAUUCAGGUUGCGUGUUUAUUUGAUUCUAGUGUUGAGAAUAACAUGAAUUGGCUUUAGAAUAUUUACGAAUUGAGAAUGUUGACAACAAUGAAAAUUUUAUUGACCUGACAGAGGUUGGGGAAUAUCUUUGAUGAUAUUAGGAGAAAGGCAGCACUAAUAAUCUAAAAUUUUGAUGUAAGCUUUUAGCUAGAUUCAUUCAAGAAUAUGAUAAUUUAGCCAAAUCAACUUAACUCUGAAAGGAUUAAUAGUUUUUACAUGUGUAUUCAAAUCUGUAGUUAGGCCUCUGCGCAAUGUUAAAAUUAGACUAUCUUUUAUGAUGUCUGAUGGUGAUUAUCCAUUAAUGUAAAUAUGUAUUGCAAUGUUUUUCUCAAGUAAUAAACAUAUAAGUGGUGAUAUCACACUGAUUUUUGUGUCUUAACCAAACUUCAUUUAUGCUUUUUUUUGCUUCCAAGCUUAAGUAGGGUUUUCAUUUCCCACUAUAUUUGAGGGAAUUUUGUUCUGUUAGUGAAUGUUCAUGUAUUUGUUCUUAUUUUACAGACAUUGAAAUCGACUCAAGCAAUGGGAGAAGCCAUGAAAGGUGUGACCAAGGCAAUGGGCCAGAUGAAUAGGCAGAUGAACUUGCCAUCAUUGCAAAAAAUAAUGCGAGAGUUUGAAAUGCAAAACGAGAAGAUGGAAAUGACAAGUGAGGUAAUGGGAGAUGCCAUUGACGAUGCUUUGGAAGGAGAUGAAGAAGAGGAAGAGACAGAAGAGCUUGUGAGUCAAGUGCUUGAUGAGAUUGGAAUAAAUAUCAACAAUGAGGUUUGUCUUUACUUUUUAUCUUUUUUCCUUCCCGAGGGGUAAUUUGGGUGACGAUGAGGUACAUUUUUACUUUUCUGGGCAAUAUUUCUGAACUCUUGGCUUUAUUGAAUAUGCAGCUUGUGAAUGCACCUGCUUCAGCGGUGGCGGCACCAGCUGCAAAUAACAAGGUUGCCCAAGCAGAACAUCCUGAGACUGAAGAUGGUGGGAUUGAUAAUGAGCUACAGGCAAGGUUAGACAAUUUAAGAAGAAUGUAGUGUUGUUGUAUUUACAAAACACAAGCUUGGCUACGGACAUGAAAGGGAUUGUAUACGUUGUAAUUAAUCAUAUCUUGCCUGAAUUAUUAUUUAAAAAUAGUGAAAAUGUUCGGUGAUUAUGAAUUUGCCAGUUUCAUUGUUGGUAUAUCAAAAUCAUGGUGACCAAGAGAUAUUGGGACACACAAGUACUUAAGUAGUCAUACAGACGUCUAGGUAGGUUGGCAGUUGAUGUGAAGACUAUCCUGUUUUCUCUUUGAAUCGAUAAGAUGUUUUUAUUAAACAAAAAACUGGGCUCAUUGCCUUGAUCCUGUUUUAGGUACAACUCUCUGUAUCACGUUAUCCAAAUGGGAGAUAUCAAGUAAUCAGUAAUCUCGUAUGUAUGAUGCACAGAUCCUCAAGUUUUCACUCUCCUUGCAUUAUUUGGGUUGUCUUAUUAAGCAGGUAUAGUAGAAAUGGACAAGGUGUAAAACAAUAUGAUCUAUACAAUAUCCCCUGAUCUAAGGGUUCAUCUUCUCAAAUAGAGUCACACAGGACUUCUUUUUUCAUAUAAAUACUGAUAAGUCCAUGUCAAAGUGAAGCAAGAUUAUCCAGAUUGUAUGUAGAUACCAUCACAAUAUAUGUCACCAAGGUGCAAGCAUCUAUAUACAGUAUGUAUUUCUAUUACUGGUGAAUCGCCAUACCCCAAGUAAAAGUCAGUAGUAAAUGCAUGCAAAAAUACAUCGAACUUUAUGGCAUGUCUUCCAAUCGAGGUGUUAGGUAUCUCAUUCCCAAUAAAGAUGGAUUGAGGUCUUCUACCUUAGCUGUUACUAGUUUGUUUAGCCAGAGAAUGAAACAGAGAAACAAGACAGGAUAUCACCUGUACGUGAGGCCACUUGCCUUCUCCACAGUCUUGCAAAAGCAUUUAUGAUGUAACUAGUAAAUCUGUUUUGUAACAAAAAAGGCUUUCUUAAUUUGCCAACUUCUUUGAUCAUACAGUCGUAUUGAUAGAGCAUAGCUAGUCUCUUGAAAUCACAUACAGUAUUGCUUGAAUCAUGAUCACAACAGUACACUCAAAUAUCAAUCCCAUAUGGCAUAUGUUGAGAUUCUCCAGGCUUUGCUAAUAAGCCUACAUACAGGCAUACAGCUAAAACUCUCCUGAUAAAUAAUACACACCAGUCACCUUUUGUACCAAGUACCAACAAACAAGUUGAACGUAGUCCUCGUGCUCUAUUAGCAUCUUGUGACUCGAUUAACCUUGCACCAUCCAUGAUCCAUGCAUGGUGCAGCGUUGGCAAUGUCUAUGUCCUGGAAAACAAGGCGUGUUGAAGAUUGCAGUGAAUGAUACCAGAGAGGCAAACAUGCUGGUGAGCAGUUUAGCAUCUAGAAACCCAAAUGGGCCCAUUUGAGGCCCAGUUUUGAACAAACCAGAAUACAACCAGACCAAGUUGUCGGAUCGACGAGCAAAUUCUUCAUUUGCCUUUUGCCUUGUGCCUUGAUCGACAAGGCAAAAGAGCGAAAGGCAUCUUCUUCUUCUUCGUCGUCUUCUUUCUCGUAUAAAACUUUCUUCAAACACCUGAUAGACAUUAUGGAUAAAAUCCCUAAAAAUGAUUCAAACUGAUGAAAUCGCCUCAUCAACCCCUUUUCUUUUACCAUCUUCUUCAAUUCCCAAUCAAUAUUACCGUUUUACCCUUCACAACAAACCUUCAUCUUCUUCCAAUUCCCGCCAAACCAUUUCACCAAUGUGGGUUUCAAAGAUAAGAACCCUUCGAUGGGUUACUUUGAUAUUGGGGAUUUCGAAUUUAGUUGUUAUUGUUCUUGGUGGGAUUUUGGUGGUUUCGUCUAGUUGUAGUAGUGGAAUGAUUCUUCCAUUUGUUGUUAUAAUGGUGACUUCUAGUAUUAGAAUUAUGUCUAUGGUUGGUAUUGGAAUUGCGCAAGAAGCGACUGCAACUACAAUUAUAAGUUCACCUCAAGAAACUUUAGCUGUUGAUGCUGUUAUUCGACAAGAAAGACGGGUAAUUUUUAAGUUUCUCUUACAAAUUACUCUCAAGUUUGUACUCGCAUUGUAUAUAAAACUUUGUUGAGUAUAGAGUAGGUGUUUGUUUGUAUCACAAUAUACUGGUUUGACAAUCUAAUGAGAUGAAUGAUAGGUGGUGUUAGUCUCAUUGGUGAGCUAUAGGUUCGGAUUUCAGUGAAUUUGUUAACGCAACAAGCCAAUAAAUCAUCUAUUGUUGAAAAAAUGGGAAGAGUGAAGAGACAAUCUAUUUGAGUUAAUUAUGUGUUAGAUGCCUCUAUUACAUAAUACUCAAAGCAAAAUUUCUACGUGACAACAUUUUAUGUACUGUAGUUGUAGUUUUCUGUUUCCUUUUCCAAUGUAGGAUACAGUAUCUCUUCCUACACUGUAAGUGGCUAUCUAAUAAGUUUUAGUUUUACAAAGUAAUAAGAAUGGUACAAAAGUAUCUUCUUGCAGUGACACCAUUCUGGAGGCAACAGGAUCUUUAUUGCUAUUCUAUUAGUCUUUUAGUAUAUACCUGUAACAUUAGAUGGUACUUCUGCAUCAGUUAUGUAGAUCUUUCUUUCUUUCCUUCCUUUAAAAGGCCCUGCAGUUGGAAUCAUUUUGCUGAAUUACAUAUAUCAUGAUGAACAGAUGAGAUACAAAAGAUGGCUGUGGUGGACUCGGUUUGGGAUGGUAAUUACUGUAUUGCAAUUUGUAGGGGCUACUUAUUUGAUGUUCGUGAUACUAAAAUAUUUUUCUCAUAAUGGAAAUUCAAGGGCCUGCUUUUUAGGUAAUGUUUUUUCUUCAAACUGGUUUUGAAAUUUCCAUUUCUUGCAUUCUUUAUGAACAUUUCGGUGACUUUGUUCUUUCCUUCAAUAAGCUUUCAAGCUAUCUUUUGAAAUUUUAUUUGUAACCUUCUUUACUUUUAUGUUUUUUAUGUGGAUCAGAACCCAAUAGUAUUGGAUGGGAGAAAAAUAUACUGGUCUUCUUUAUCAUUUUAGUGUGGUUUCUGGUUACUUUACAAUGUAUCGCUGGAUCGGAUGUACUAAGAUGGAGAUCUUUCUAUGCAACACAUGAUAAUGCAUGGAAAGCUCAUUACCAGGAGGUAUUUGAUCAUGGGCUUCGCGAAGCUUUAUGCUGCCUUGGACGUGUAAAAUACUUGUAAGCUUCUCUUUAAAAUUACUUGAAUUUCAAGAACUGUCUGAUAUGCUCCACAUCUCUUUCUUUUCUUUUGUCUCAUUUGAUUCAAACAGAAGUGUCUUGGAAGAAGAUGAAGUUUUUUCAGUAGCACGACUCUUGGGUGAUCUUGUUGCAUAUCGCGCAUCAGGAACUGGACAUUUAGAACUCUUGGCAGGUAAAUCUCUUUUGUGCAGUGUUGUCAUUGUUUGACAUAAUUAAUCGAUGUGCCAUAUAUGAUGCCUAUUACUUUGAAUUGUGUCUUGUCUUUUUAUACUUGGUAUGACUUAUCCACUGGAUGCAAAUAGGGAAUUCCAUUUCCACCCAGGGAAUCAUGAGACACUCAAGAUACAUGAUUUUUCGAGAGUGAUUAUAGAUGUUAACUUGUUAAGUACUCAUUCUGCAUUAAGGACUGCGAAGUCUUACUAUAUAUUCCUAGAUCAAAAAUCAUUUUUACUUUACUAUGGAAUGACAAUAGGAGAACCUGUUGUUUCAGGACUUGCGUUGUUGCAAAGACGUAGGGAUUCAUUAAAUUCGUAUGAAGAACUAGUGGAGGCACCUGAAGAACAGAUUCAAGAGGCAGCUGCCUUCCAUCAAUUUGCUGAGGCUGCCUACACGGUCUUGUCUUGUAACAUUUACUAUUCUAUUAUUCUUUUACAAGGUUUAAGAUGGAUACUUACUUUGUGUAACAAUUUUGUGGUGCAGGGCCCUUUGCUUGAUUUUGGAAGAAAUCCAAUAUUAUUUCCUUGUGCAUGGCUCUACAGGCAAGGGGUCUUGACCCCCUGGACUCGUAACAGGUCUUUAACUUGCUCGAAGUGUUUUAUUUUUAUUUUUUUUCUUCUUUAAAACGAACAUGCAUAUCAUAAAAUAUUUCGAAUAUAUAAAGAUCUAUGCAUGUCGCUUGUCCUUCAGUUCCAUGUAGCUUGUGUUUUCUUGUUUUUGCUUUCUUUUGUGUGUGUGUGUGUGUGUGUUUUGAGAUGACCUAGCAUUUCAUUAAUAGGAAUGAUGAGUACAAAUAGGUAGGUCAGAUAGUCCUGAUAUGCAGAAAUAACUUACAAGAAUAAAUGUUAUAAAAUAUGAAAAUAAAAGUAAUGGCCAGCCUUAGUUAAAUAUCCAUUAAUCACUGUCGCUCAUGAAAACUGGAAGCACACAUUUGAGCUCUGAUUUUCGACAAGAAGUAUAUGGUUUGUUCCAGAUUUUUGUGGUUCCAUGAAGGCAGAAAACCAAAGACCUUCCAAUCAUUUCCCAAUGGGGACAGCAACAAGCGGCUGUAUAUUGGUGCUUUAUGAUCAAAAGAAAGCCAAACAAUUGAGUAAAACUACAAUAACGAUACUUCCGUCUGUGCUCAGCAUUGUGUAUAUAAUAUUAAAACAACCAUCAAAUUGUGAUCUAUGCUUUGCUCAAUCAUCUAAGGAUCAUUGAGGCACAAUCUUACUUAAAUUUAACGCCACGAUUUUUAUUGAGCUAUUACUCUAUGAUUGGUUCAUUCAUAUUAUUCUGAGAAUAUAAAUCAUUCAAGGUAAUGAUUUUUGUUUGGUGCUGUUUUGAUGAAAUUUAUUUUUCGUUGCAUUUUCCGCACUUGGUAAUUUACCUAUGUCCUUUUUCAGACGGCCUAUCCUUGAAGGUGAUAAUUGGUGGCGUGGCCAUGCAGCAGCCUUUCUAAAGUAUGUUAAUCUACCCCCAGAAGCACUUAGGCAAGGACGGGUCAGUCAGGUGAAUAUUGUGGGACUUCAAUAUUUGCCUUUGAUCUCUUUUUACAUGGGUUUAUAUGUUCAAAGUCCAUAAACAAAUAUAUUUGUGUGCGUGAUACAAAACCCCUGUCUCUUGAUAAUUGGUAUUUCAAUGCUGCGUACAUAAAAUCCAACUACGAAGUCCGAUCCUAUAACCAUAUGUCCAUAUAUCAUUGCAGUCCAAUACUCACAACACAAAAGAAAGGAACAGGAUUUUGUGGUAUUUUACAUGCUAAACAUUUUAGACAUACAUUUACACUAAUCUAGGUAGAACCAGACAUAACUAUCAUUAAAAAUUAAGAUCCAAAAUCAGAACCAAAGUUCAAUAGCGGUUUGGUUUUCAGAGUUUUUCAGAUUUCUCUACAUCUUUAAGAUUAUAAUUGUAUGUUGGUUUGUUUCAGUUUCUGGUUUUAACUGUUAACUACUGUGUUACAUCCAUAAAUGUACAAAACUUUAAAUGAUACCCCCAACAAAGGAUAUUGAAGAAACAUAUGUAUUGAUGUUAUGCAUGAAAUACGAUGGAAGAGGCACAAAACUGAAACAAAAAUGUAGGCCAGCUAUGAUACGGUUGAUGUCACAUUAUUUACAGUUUAUAGAUGUUGUGAAUUAGCAUAUUGCUAUGGUUACUUUCUCUUUGUUGGGUUUAUCUGCCAGUUUUACUGGUUACAGUUUUACGUUAUUUACAGUUUAUAGAUGUUGUGAAUUAGCAUAUUGCUAUGGUUACUUUCUCUUUGUUGGGUUUCUCUUUGUUGGGUUUAUCUGCCAGUUUUCUUGUACCUAAUAUCUUACAACUUCUAAAGAUUCAAUGUCAGCUCUCUCAAUUCUCUUACCUUUCACAGAACUCCUUGAUAUGGGAGAAAUUUUUAGUUGCCUUUUAUUCCAUGUCUUCUUCCUUUAAUUUUUUUCUCUAGGCAAAGUGUGAAGCUGCAUACUAUAUUGUGAUUCUACAUCAUCUGCAAACUGUUGUUAUAGCUGUACGUGGAACGGAGACUCCUGAAGAUCUUAUAACUGAUGGUUUAUGCAGAGAAAGCCCCCUAGAAAUGGACGAUUUGGAUGGGCUGAUAAAGUCAGUCUCUCUCCCUGACUUCUGUGAUUUUUAAACAUUUAAGCACUUUAUACUCUGUUGUCAUUUGGUUAUCUAGUUUUUAGCUUCACAAUCCUGCAGUAAAAACUCCUAAUUUUAGAUUGAAUGAGUGAAUUUGCAUUUUGUGUAACAAGUUUCUGCUUUGAUAUUUUUUAUUUUGAAAAGCAAGAUACAUUUAAUAGUUUGUCCUUAUUUAUUGUUUUUUCUCUGAACGUCAGUGAUAACAACAAAAUAGUUUGAACAAUUCCUUUCUAUAUGUUGCUUUGCCUCUGAACGUUAGUGAGAUAACAUGUUAAGUUUAGCGCAUAUUAAGUUUGAACAUUUUCAGUCUUUUGAGCAUUUAGCGCAUAUUAAGUUUUACAUCUUCUCUGGCAUUCCUCUUUCUCCUGGAUCAGUUAUCCUUUUUUAACUUUGCUUUUUGUCACCAUUUAUACCUUAUUCUCUUUGCAUUAGUGGUCGCAUUCACCCUGAUGUAAAGCAAAGAGUUAUGUCAUCUUUUCCACACUAUGGGCAUUCUGGAAUAGUUGAAACUGCACGGGAGUUGUUUAUGCAAGUUGAUGGACAAUCUGGAGGUAAAGCAUCUACAUUAUGAUAAGAUAUUUCUUCUAAAUUUUGUUCCUUUUGGUAAUUGUUGUGAAUUUAUAUUUGUCAUUACCAGUCGUUUGUUCAUGCUCCUGUAAUAGUUCAAAUAUGUACUCAUGGCCUUAUCUUCAUUACAGAUCAACUAAAUUAAUCUGAUUCAUUUGGAUUUGACUUGUAAUCUGUAGUAGUCAUAAUUCAUUCUAGAGUUAACAACAUAUGACUCCUGCCUUGAAAUUGCCUGAAUUUCUUUUGGCUCUCUUUCCAAUUAUUAUUUUGGAUUUGUAGAUUUCAAUUCCACUGGGUUCCUUUCUUCAUUGUUGGGUGUUGGAUGUGAGUGUCAUGGUUACAAUGUUCGCAUUGUUGGUCAUUCUCUGGGCGGUGCUAUUGGUGCGUUACUGGGAAUAAGGGUAAGCAUUUCUUCAUUUCAACUGAUGCUGUUAAACGGAUUCUAAAGUAUGCUUCCUUUUAUUUCAGGUUUCUAUUGUUAAAUACUCAGAUAUUUAGUCCAAUAUGUGCCAUGUUUUCAUCAGUUUAUUUAGUCCAAUGCUGUAUGCGAGACUAUGUGAAUAUCAUGCAAUCAUGGUCUAUGUCUAUCUAUGGCUGUCGCCAUAAUUCCACCUAGAUUCCAUGACAAUAUGAACACUUGACAUUAAAGAUUCCAAAAUAGGAUCCUGUAUUUACAUCUGAAUCCUUAUUAUUCGAAUAUGAUGAAGCAUCAGCAUCAGCACUCGUGUCCUGAUGUGGCCAUGCUAGUAGCUGCGUGGAUAUGUGAUCACCCUGGUGUCUGACAUCAGAUAGACAGUGGCCAUGACAUUUUAAUCAGCAGCUAAAACUUCAACUGUUAUCCAAAGCUUGAGAAUAUGAAUAUACUUUUUGUUGUGCUUUAUUGAUUUCAAAGGGAUUAAUCAUACAUUUGUUUCACAUGUUUAUCUUAUUUCACAGUUGUACCGCCGAUACCCAAAUUUACAUGUGUAUUCAUAUGGGUCCCUCCCAUGUGUGGAUUCUAUUGUUGCAGAAGCAUGUUCAGACUUCGUAACAAGGUGACUAUAUGCAAAUCAAACCAUUAUCAGGGUUUAUAUUUACUCUCGUCUUCUUGUUUAAUAGUUGAAAUCACCUCGUAAGGCUACUAUUCAGAGUGUCACUUUGGUCCGUGAAGUUGUGCCCAACAUAUAUUUUGUUCUUGCUUGUCAUCUUUCUAUACAGAACGCCUAAUGCAGUGAUAUCUUGACAUUUUCCCAGCAUUGUCUACCGUUAUGAAUUUUCAUCACGCCUUUCAGUUAACUCUAUAAUGAGGCUCCGUGCUGCUGCUAUCUCCGCAUUGUCACAGGAUUCCUCGGCUGAUUCAGCAAUGAUUUGCAAACUUACCCAACAGAUUUUUAAUAUUAGCCCAUGCCUCAAGAGCAAGGAUGGUAUGCGCUCAUCAUCUUUUCACUGUGGAGCUUUGACAGCCGAAGACAAUAACUACCAUACGUACAAGAGAAAACACUAUAAACAUGUUAUCACAGGUUGUGUUAUGGUGUUCAUGCAAUUUUUGGUCAAUCUGCCUAAUUUUCUUGAAUAUCGCUUUCUAAUAAGUAUAGAAAUGCAAGUGCUCAUCUUAAUUGUAGAGUCUUUCUGAUUGCUAUCUCUGCAGGAAAUGAUGAACAGGAUCAAGCAUUUGCUUCUCAAGAAACAACUGACUCCACUGAAAACCAGAAUGCUGUAAAUCUGAUAGAGUGUUUUGAUGACAUACCAAGUAGUUUCACUGUUCCAUUGUUUGGUACAGCUGAUGUUGUCCCUUCUUGUGAAGAUCCUGUGUCUGACUUUCUGAGUGGGGCCCCCUUACCCACUGAAGCAUCAAUAGGAGAAUCUCCGGAGAUUUAUAUUCCAGGACUUGUCAUUCAUAUUUUACCACAAAAAGGGAGUGCCCUAUCAUUGUGGAAAAGCUGGAAGGUCCAUGAGAGAGAACAUAGUUAUAAAGCUUAUUUAGCGAAUAGAGAGAACUUCAAGGAUAUUAUUGUGUCGCCAUAUAUGUUUCUUGAUCAUCUUCCGUGGAGGUAACAGACAGUCAUUACAUUUUGUGUUGUUUUGGUUUGUUGGUCUGGUUUUAUGGUUCUUGUCCUUUAAAAUGGAGAGAGCAAUUAACGCUAACUCAGUUUUUAUAUGCACGUUGAUAUUUCCAGGUGUCACUACGCCAUGCAGAAAGUGCUGGAGACGAAAGCUCAAGUUCAACUCUCAGAUCCUGAUAUAGUUUGAAUGUUUUCUUGUUUUAUUUCCCGGAAUUGGUGAGGCAAGUGUAGUGCUGGUGCUCGUGCUCUUCUAUCGUUACCCAAAAGAGUUAUAUGAUUGACUAGAUGCUACGACAACCUCAUGCGAUCAUAAAUACUACCCUCACCAUCCCCUCAGAAGGGGGAGCAGAAAAAAACAAAAAAUGUAGUCUGUACAGUCAUAUUUAGUGGCUAAUGCUGCUAUCCCAUUAGAUAUCCAUUGUAUCACGCAAUGAUCUAUGUCCAUUGUUGUAACAAGUUUCUGUAGAAAUCUUGGUUCCCCUGUACUAAUGGAAUUUAUUUUGCUCUCUAUACAUUACAGAAAAAUGCUUCAAUAAAUAUGAAGAGGCAAAAAUUUGUCCAUAUAGCCAAUUUUCUGUUAUAAUUUUUAACUACAAAUUUCAUUAAAAUUCUGCACACUUUGGAAUUUUCAGAAAUGUUCCUAAAUUGCCCAGUGUAUCGUAAUUCAGGUUUGCUUUCCUUUUCAAUCACUCUGACCUUUUUAAUCAUGCUUUUUCUUUGUAUCUGUUAUCAAUUAAUUGUACCACCUUGUAAUCAUUGGUAAAUCAAACCCAAUCCAAGCAGCAAGCUCUUAAUUAAUUGUCUUGUCGCUGGGUUCCAAAACAGUAAACUAUGUGCUGUCUGAACAGAGAUACCUAUAGAAUUGCUGUUUUACCAUGGAGGCCAUUGGCAUCUCUAACUGAAAAGAUCUGAGUUUAUCAAUACUGCAAAAUUAUGAUAUACAUAUACAAGAUACACCUAAACAAAACAAAGGUAUUCCAAAAUAUAACAAACACGAUAGAGGAUUUCUUCCUAAAAUGUACAAACUGCGACAAAAGGAAGAUAUGUGGUCAAUUCCACCUACUGUUUAUAUGUGGUUACAGUUCUAGAAAAAAAAAAAAAAAAGAAGGCAGCAGCAUGAAUUGGGUGCUGGAUUCUAGUUAACUGAUAAGCAACAGAGAAAUGGUACCCAUUUUGUUUUCCGCUUCUGUCUACUAUCAGGCAGUCUCGCAGGUGAACUCCAUUCCUUGUCGAUAUUUUUUGUCAAACCAUUAUUGGUAGUAGAUACUUCAAGACUUGCAAUUGGAGGGACUGUUUUAAAGGUGUCAUCAUCUUCAGAUGCUGGUGGUUUGGAAUUGCCAUGUGCAGUUGCAUCCUGACUGCUUUCAAAAUUUGGUUCAACCAGAAAACUCUUCAAGGGAGCACGUACUUUGGCAGAACUCCAAUUUGUCACUUUUUCAAUGAUCUCUUCAUUCUUUUUUCUCCCUUGCAAUUCAUUAGCGGGGGCUUGCAAAGAAGAUUCAUGUGGCUGUUGCAAAUUUUGACCAUUCUCUCCACUGGGUUCAGCCACGAUCAAGAUAGAAGGUGCCUCACAAACAUCGGAGUUGCUGGAGUACUGGUCCUUAUAAGAAUGUGUCUUUUCCGACUCUGCUACUUGGUCUUCCUUUUUGGGAACUUUGGAGUCAGUCCCUGGUAGAACUUCAGCAGCAGGGAUGUGUGAAGGAUUCAUAGCAUCUCUUGAGCAAGGAAUUUUGCCAUCUGUAACACCCCCAACAAAGUUAAGCACUGAUUCCUAUAUAUUAUCGGUGAAAUUCUAAACAUGAGAUUUAAUGACAGUUUACAUAACUUGCAUGGCUAAAUAGUUCAUUGACCUAUUGUUAUUGUUUUAGUCACAUCUGUGUAAGUUUGCUACCAACACUAUCUGGAUUUCCUUUAACUAAUUCAGUCAGGCUGGGUAUAGUACUCUCAAACUCUUAAGCAAUUGAUUAGUUUCCAGUUCAAUUCUGAAUUGACAGUCACACACACCUACCAACCCCUUCAAAGAAUCAACAUUCAUCCCAUCGACUAGGAAUAAAAAGAAGAAAUUCAGCAGGACAUCUAGCUACAGGGUUUAAAAAUUUUGAAUGGAGGAUUCAAAAUUCUGGAUUUUAACUAUUCCAGUAUCUGAAUCCUUAGGAAUCAACCGCACCAAAGUGUUUAGGCCAGGUUUAAUAGGUAAUCACCAGUUAUUAUUCCAAAUGAGACAUCCAACUCAUACUCACUAAAGUAUAAUAAAGCAUUUUAAUAUUGUAGAAGUGGCAUUUUUUACUUUAAGAUCCAUAAAAGACCCUAUUCCCUGACUCUAGGAAACUAAGCAAAGUAACAGAAGGAACUUCUAAGGAAAAACAGGCUGCGAGAUCAAAUUCGAGUAGCAAAGAAUAUUUUUAAUCGCAUCAUGCAACAUUUUUUGAUGCAAUAUAUGGCUCACUACUUACUGCUGGAUAAAGGAAACAGUGAUAGGGUAAAAACAUACCUGAAACAGAGCCCCAACAGCCUUCAACACUACCGGUUUGGCUAAUAGAAUCGACAGAACCUUCUCUAGGUACAGUUGCCAAAGCCUCAAGCUGUUUGUCAAGAAGAAAGUCAUCCUCCUUCAAAGAUGAAGAAGAAACAUCAGAAGCAUCUUCUAAACCCAAAACUUCUGCGGCAUCUUCCAAGCUGCUGGAAUUCGGAGCCGAAGGUACAUGAAAUGCCUCAUCCUCGUUACUAGAAUUAACGUUUCUAUCUUCUGGAAGAGGUUCAGCAUAGCUACCAUCUGCACCAACAAACUCCAUCUGAUUUGUUUCCUUGCCAGAUGUCUUAGCACUUUCAGCUUCGAAUUCUGUUGAAGUUUCUAAGAGACUCUUACCAUGGUAAUUUUGUGAUUCAGAAAGAGAUUCUGACAUAUUUUCGAACUGGGUGGUAUUGAUAACCACUGCACUGGGCUGAACGACACUAUUUAAUGGACCAGAUUCACUAUUUUGUAAGUUUUCUUCUAACUCAACAAGAGAACAUUGAGCGUCAGAAUCGAUUUUCAUUUGCAUGGAAUGGUCCUCUGCAACCCCUACAAUGUGAGAAAUUAUAGCAUCACCACUUACAAUCAGACUUGGUGGAGGGGACUUGGAUGGUUUAUCCUGCUGAGAAUAGUGAGGCUCCAGUUCUUCAAAACAAACCAUUUGAUUUGUCUCAGUGUGGAUACAAUCUACAUCACAGAAUUUCAAAUCUGGAAAAGUCGAUUUAUCUAGGCCGUGAUGAACAUCCUUUGCUUCAGAAAUAUCAGUAUCAUGUGUAGUAGAAUCUUCAUCAAACUUACUUUCAUUACACAUCUCUUUUUGUUGGCCGAUAUCUUCAAGAUCCAAUAUAGAUAAGGGAGACACAUUAGUACUUUCACCUGAUUUUCCUGCUUCCAAAUCUGGAAAACCCAAUUUAUCCAGGCUUUGAUGAACAUCCUUCACUUUCGAGAUAUCACCAUUGUGUGUUGUAGAAUCUUCUUCGACCUUACUUUCAUUACAUAUCCCUCUUUGUUGGCCAAUAUCUUCAAGAUCCAAUGUAGCUAAAGGAGAUACAUCGGUACUUUCACCUGAUUUUCCUGAUAGUCUAGGAUGCACAUCCAUGGAAAUAGGAUUUUGAAAUUCGAUCUCUGUUGUUACUUCGCUAAAAUCAACCUUUGGACAUACCUCUAAUUUUACUGGUACAUUCUCUUUCUGAUCUUUGACUGUAGCCUCGGGAAGUUCUUCACUCUGAAAAGUAAGUAGAUUAUUACUCCCCUCCUUUUCAUAUGAUCCAUUAGGAUUUUCAGUGUCUGAUAAGCAUGCACAGUCGUCUUCAUCCUUAAAACUGUCCUCAGAAGAAUAGGCGUUUUUACUUGCUCCCAAUUCGAUAGAGUCUGAGCAAAUGCCAGAAUGAAGUUCAGUUAAGGACAUCUUUUGUUCCAACGUAUUGGUUUCCAUCUCCUUCGAGUCCACAACCCCAUCCAUGGGCAAUGUAGCUGCACUCAUGUUACUGCCUCCAGUGAUAAUUGAUGACAAACUGUUUCUCAAAAUCCCAUCCGCCUUUUGCAUAAUAACUAUUUCUGAAUCCUCAGUUGCAGAGUCGCUAAAUGAAGCUUUGUUGGCUGAUAGCAUUCCAUUUGAAUUCAUUUCAUCCUUUGUUCCCACAUCCUUUACAAUAUACGGCGCACUUUCACGAAGUCCCUUAUCAUUAGGAGCAAUUUCAGGCCCUUCUGCUUUUACAGGAAUAGAACAAGGAGAACCAUUUGCUUGAUUGGGCAGAUCAAAAGAUAAUGACUCUGCUUCCUGGUCUGACACAAACCCCAGAGGUGAGCCCAUGGUAAGAGUUGAGGAGGGACUUUGAAAUUCUGCAUCAUUUUCUGUCUGACAUGCUGUGUUUUGUGGAGCAUUGGGAGUUCUUGAUGAACUAUAUUGAGUUGGACUGUCUGAUGGUUGGAUGUCUGCACAUUGAAAGGCCCAGCAUAUAAAGGUAAGUAUCCAAUGUAUCUACUAUCAGCUAAGACAAAGCAGGAUUGAUGAGAGUUAUGUAUUAAUAUUAAACAUAACUUUUAAGUAUAACGCUUCAACUAGGACGACUAAGCUAAACUUAAACUGACAACCUCAGGAUCGCAUUACAAUAUGAGUAUUGCUUCCACUUUUUAAGUGAGAGAAAGUCAUUCAAUCUUUACCUACAUACCUUAUAAGCUAGAAGGAAAAAAAGGAAACAAAGACAUACAAUAAAAGAAAAGAUCGACUACAAGAUUCCAUGAAAAUCAUUCUCAUCUCCACAUUUGUUGUUUUUUGUUUUGUUUUGUGUUUUAGCUGGAUAAAACUUUUCGUUAAGGUGUCCCAAUUCCUUUCUGCUGAUCCUGGUCCCUGGACACCAAUACCCAUGCUUUUGCAAAUUUUAUGAAUGUCCUUUGAUGGAUGUAUUCCCCACAACAAUGAAAGAAUAAGCUGAUUUAUUAUUCUAUAUUUCUAUUAGUACUUGUACCAAAAUUAUUAACCUUCGAUAUCCCUUAGAAUGCCCUGCAGAGUUUGGACCCAAUGGGACCAUCAACUUUCCCAACUUCACAUCCAGCACCCAAAAUAUGGAAUCUAAUCUUUACCGUCAAAAUCACAACCCUUCACCUAAACCGCUGUACAACUAUCGAUCAUUCUUAUUAAUCAAAAUUCAACAAAAUUGAAAACUAAUAUUGCUAUCUCAAAUCGGAUAACUUGUAAAAGCUAAAAUUUGUUCACUCUUUCAAUAUGUUAGAUUCCCCUUACCCUACAAUCAUUUUAAUAAUGGGGGUUUGUUUGGUUAGGCAUGAAAAACAAUUAAUACAUGCAUAGACACUCCAUGUCAUUGUUACCGAACUUUCUCAAUCUAAAACGGAUAACAAACCCCACAAAUAAAAUAACAAAAGCAAAAUUCAAACAAAACACAUAUCAAUCUAUAGAAGGAAAAAAAAAACACUAGUAAUUAAACCAAUUAAGUAAAAUAACCAAUUAGUAAACAUUAUGCUUACCCUUUGCAGCAGCAGCAGUAGUAGUAGUAGUAGUACCCUUUAGAUCUGUUUCCGCAAACUCAUUAACAGCAUCUGAAAAUUCUUCCUCUUCUGAUUUAUUAGAUAUUUGUCUAUCAAUUAAACCACUACCCAUCUCCUCAUUCAAAUUAUUUUCACCUAAUAAAUCAAAAAGUAAAUAUUAAAUGAAGUAAAAAACCAACAAUGGAGAUAAAAGGGGGUAUUCUAAUUGAAUAUUCACAGAAAUCAAAAAGACUUAUUACCCUGAUUAUUACUGUGUUCUUGAUAAUUAUCAUCAUCUUGGGAUUCGUGUAUGAUAAACCCUUGAAUUUUGCCACAAACCUUCUUAUGAGCUCUUCGUUGUUUAGCACUUGGAUGAGGAUUUGGGAAACCCCAACCACACUUGUUACAAAUGUGACCACUCUGCAUCAUCUUUUUUCUUCACUCUGAACAAAAACCCCAUUAACAAAACCAAACUCAAUAACAAAAUAAAUAACCAAAACAAAAAUUUAUAAAAAAAUGUGUUAAAAAAACACAAAAAAGUUCAGUUUUACACAGAAAAUGACCCCACAUUUCCAAGAAAAAGAAAGGGAAACAGAGUCAUUCAAAACUCUCUCUCUCUCUCUCUCUCUCUUUUUUGUCUUUGGUUAGUAUAGCUACCUACCUCUCUUUCUUUGUCCUUUGGGUAUUUUUCCCUCUUCUUCUCUCUUUCUUUCUUUCUCCUUCUUUGUUUGUUUGUUUUCUAAGUUUUUCUCUCUCUCUCGCUCUCUCUAUCUCUUAAAAACCAAAGAAAGAAACUUUAUUGCGUUUAAAUCACGUUUAAGAUCUAAAUGGAAAUCAAUGUUGGUUGAUUGAUUGAUUGUUUGAUUAUCAUCGAAUACAUAAUAAUUAAUCGUGGAAACCAAGUAAAGUAAUCUUUUCUUGUUUUUUUUACUGUAGCAAAUUUAUUUAUUACCGCAUAGUCUACAGGAUAAAACACUCUAACCCUAAUUUUAAGUUAAAUAGACCACUUUUUAACGUUAAUAAUUUUUAAUUAAGACAUCAAAUCAUUGGAUUCCGACAUGAGUUUUAUCGGAUUUAGGUGAUUUAAACAUUGGUGGGCCUCAAUUAUGGAUUGGAGGAUCCAUGAUUACGAGAUUCUUCUUCAAAGCCAGGAAGAAGAAAAAGGUCUGAGCAAAGCUGCAAUAUGCAUGAAAGAGAGAAUCCAAUGAGUUGAAUUUUGGCAAAAGAAUAUGAAAGAUGUCAUACGUUUGGUAGCACAUUUAAUUAAUAAUACCAGCAGCCAAUCGGCAGAGAUGUGUUAGAGAGUGUUGACCACUUUGCCAGUUGCCAGACACAGGGUAUCAACAGGAGGUACUGCUACUGCCCUGUGCUUGUGGCCUGUGAUAUGAAACUAAAUCAUUAAUAUUGUACCUUCUAACUAGUGGUCCAUAUGCCCAUGAUCGGCUUUUUUUUCACAACCUUUUCAAUCCAGUGCUAUUUAGGAUUGUGAAUUCUAUCAUGAGAAUAGCACUCUUUUUCAGUCAUGUCUUUUCAUAGUGAUUAGUAUGUUUUUAUUGUGGAUUGAUGUUGUGAAGAAGUCAUGAGAAUAGACCAAUAACAUGAACCAAAAAGGCAAACACACACAAGGGCAAGGUGUUGAUUCAGUGGUUACAUUAACGCGCUGAAAACUAUGAGAGAAUUUGUUGAAACAAGAGUAAAAACAUAGCAAUGAAGAGCAGGAAGACAUGAAGAACCAUAAUUGUUAGCAAAACUGAUCCUGGUUAACAAAACAAUAUUCUGUUCUGGAGCACUGCAGGCAGAAAUGAAUAAAGUGGGUCAAGCAUAAAAGAUGAGAAUUACUUGUCAGUUACAGAUAAGAAAAUAACUAAGCCAACAAUAAAUGUCAGUGUUGACAAAACCCAAGCCAGUUGACAGACUAAAGUUAGUAAACUGUCUUUCAAGUUCACUGAACAUGGUAUUAUAUAUGCAAUAUCCUGGCUUUUAGCAUCACAUCUCAUUUAUGUAAAAUCCAACAUCAAAACAAGUACAGACAAUGAAUAUCAUGAAUGCAGAUAAAAGGCCAUUAAAACAUAAAGCAAUAAGGUAUUACCAUAGUAGCAGCAGUAGAAGGUGAAACAAAGAUGGAAAGCUGCUACUUUUUUAUAUCAAGGAUGAUUCUUUCUUUACCUCAACAUAUUAACAUCCCUAUAAUACAAACAUACAAACAGACAGGUCCCAGCAUUUACAGACUCGAUCCGAAAAUCAAAUACACUCUCCAAUCUUGUUCUCCUCAUUUUGUAUUUAGAACCAGCUGUACUGAUCAUCUUCUUUCCUCGCCUUAACCCAACCUGCCGCAUUGACAACAGAAUGAGUUGACUCAACUAGCCUGCACUAUACUGUACGCACACCAUGACCAAAAGACCUGUCAAACCAGACUCCGUGACAGCCUCAAAAGGGUAACAAAAAUUCACGAUCUGAUUGAGCUAUUGUGACUACUGGACUGUGCUCCGCUUACACAUUCUAUGCUUCAGCUCUUUUAGUAUAGUCCUGGUCGAGUUCAUAACGGAGCUUUCCUGGUAGGCUCUGCAUUGAAAAUAAAGGAUUUUGUAAGAAAACUGUUUUGCCAUGUGACAAACAAUUAUGCUUGAGAUAUAUGAUUCGACUGAAUCGAAAAAAAAUAAACGCACAACAGUUAAAGCCUAUAUUAGACAUCAUAAAUCAAGCAAAGUAGGGGAUUCACAAAGAUAACAUAACAUAGAUAUUGGGUCACUUACUAGAGUUGUGUAAUUCCACUUUAGUGCAUUUUGUCGUACUAUAUAUAUUUAGACAUGCAAAUAUCUACCCAGAUGAUAUUUUGAUAGCAAUACUUCUUUCACUGUGAUCCAAUGAUGUAUAUAUUUAAGGAUGCAGUCUAUUUUCUGGGGGCAUUUCCAACAUUUGGAGCACAACAUUAACACCACAUGAAAGAAUCCUCACGAAACCUCCCACCACGCAAUUUCUUGAGUCAACAACUUAUUGUAAUGAUGCAUUCCUUUUCUCACUAAACCUCCAAUGCCAAUCGCCAGGGAAUUUUGAAAACUUUCUAAAGAGCUAGUAAACAGACUGUUGCUGAGGUAUGCCAAUACAGAUAAUAAACAAGCUGAAUGAAGCAAUAUCUAUACUACUACUAAGAGCACCAAACAGCGGCAGUUGCUUAUUUUCCUCGAACCAAAUCAACAAGAAUCUUAGUGAUUCACUCCACAUCACCUUUGGAACUGAGAUAGCUAAUGCUAUCCACCCUUAUGGUUCUGUUCAAUACUUAAAUGGUGAAGAGGAAGAGGUCAAUAUGCAUACAUAAUCGGGAUACGCGUAUCUAUCAUAUGGCUUCUAUGAAGAGAUGGAAGGAUGCUAAGGUUAGUAAUGAGGUUCCAUGAUGAGAUAGGUGAUAUGUGAUAACAAACACAUGAGAGUAAAACGGGAAGUAAACCUAAAACUUUAUAGUUACUGACUUGCAUUCAUUAUGGCGUAGAUGUCAUAUGCCAUAAAGAAGUGUGAUUCAUUGUGAUGUGCAUGGCACAAUUUUGAGAUAUAAGCAAAUAAAGUAAUGAGUAUUAAUAAAUAUAAAAACACGCUCUUUUUUCGGUAUCUUGGCAACGGUUGAAAGAAGAAAACAUCAAUUAAAGGUGAGAACUCUUUGGAAGAGGUGUAAAUUUAAUAACAUGGAUUGUUAUCUUCUCUCAUGUUAUUCAUAAACUUGCUAAAAAGAUGAAAAAGUUCAGGAUUGAGAUCCAAUUACGAAACCUGGGAUGAGAUCAUCAAUCAGUAAAGUCUAUUACACAGUGCUAUUAACUCGUGUGGGAUCUAAAUUAAAUGUUAUAAAUGCCCAAAUUGAACUUCUGCACUAGUCGUAAAUUAAACUUGAAGGUAAAAGUGAUAGCAUACAUCUCUCAACUUAAUCACAAUCAACAAGAUACGAGUGUUAAAAUCUUCAAAGAAAUGAGAAAUCAAAUCACUACGUGUGUUAAUCCCUAAAGCUGACGUGAGAGCUCUGAGACUACCAUGGUAGAUACUAUAUUACACAUGCAGUUUAAGUAACCACGACUUUAGAAAUUCACAUUGAUGUAGAUUAAUUAAUAAAUGCCCUAAUUGAACUUCUGCACUGGUCAUACAUUAAACUUGAAGAUAAAAGUGAUAGCAUACAUCUCUCAAUUUAAUCACAAUCAACAAGAUACAAGUGUUAAGAUCUUCAAAGAAAUGAGAAAUCAAAUCACUAUGUGUGUUAAUCCCUAAAGCCGAUGUGAGAGCUCUGAGGUAGAUACUAUAUAACACAUGCAGUUCAAGUAACCACGACUUUAGAAAUUCACAUUGUCGUAGCUUAAUUAAUAAACCAAAUGACUGCUUUCACUCUACAUAUAUAUCAUAGCUUGCUAUAUCACAUAAAUGUGCAUUCAAACUACACUAGUUACUAAUUAGAUGUUAUGUACUAGUCCAAACUCACAGAAUCAAUCAAUUAAUCAAUAUUAUUUAUAAUCAACAAAUUCACAAUUUAAUCACAAUUAACAAGCUACAAAUGUUAUGUUCAUCAAAGAAAUCAAAUCACUGUGUGUGUUAAUUUCUAAAGCUGGCUUGAGAGCUCUGAGACUACUAUCGCAGAUACUAAGUAUAUUACACAUGCAGUUCAAGUAACCACGACUUUAGAAAUUCUCUAACAUUGACGUAGCUAAUUAAUAAAACAAAUGACUGCUUUCAAUCUACAGCUACAUUAGAACUCGCUAAUUCAAAUAAAUGCGCAGACAAAUUAUUCUAGUUACUAAUUAGAUGUUAUGCAUUAGUCCAAACUCACGAAACCAAUCAAUAUAUAAUUCAUAAUCAACAUAUUCACAAAGAGAUGAUACAUUUUAAGUAAUAAAAGUAAACUAAAUUGCUGCGAAAUCGACCUUAGAAACACUGGUAGCAAGAGCUUGUCCUUCCUCAAAAUCCUUGAAAAGCUUAUCAUGAUCAGAAAUCUUACAUUCGGGCGGAGUUUCAAACAAAGAAAGCGAAAAUCUCUUAUAAAUCACACCAACAUCGAAGUAAAUAAUACCAGAACUUGGUAUAUCUACUCGAAUACCUUUAACAGGAAACCAAAGAAACAAUUCUUGAGCUGAAAUACCAGAAAGACCUUGGAUCUGACCAUAACUAAGUACUCCAGUAACAUUUCGAUCAUAAUGUACAGUAUUUUCAAAUUUAGCAUCACAAGCUUGAUCAAGAUGAACUUCAAAUCUUCCUUUAUCAUCUAAACUGAAUUCUUUAACACCUUUUGGAAUUAUACCAAUAGGUAGACCAUGUGAUUGAAGAACUUCGUAUAUAGAAUCAGAAUCAGAAGAAAACGAAGAGAUGAUUAAGUUGAAAAGAAGAAAAAUUGAAAGAAUUGAAGAUGAAUUCAUCAUGGGUUUUUUUUAUUUUUCUGUCUUUGUGUUUAAUUGAUCGGUUUCAAGUGUAGUGUUUAUAGUGAGAAUUAGGGUUAGGGUUUGGAGAGAGAGAGAGAGAAAUAAUGAAGAAAGGAAGAUGGAUUAUUAUGAAGAAGAGAAGAAGAAAACAGAAAAAUUAUGAAGAGGAAGAAGACAGUGGUGCCAGCAAAAUUACAGUAAGGAUUGAGAUGAGAAGAAUAAUCAAUUAUUGAGAGAGAGAGAGCAUGGUGGGUGGGUAGCUGAUGCUGACCUGUUCUGAUUUAACACUAGCCAUUAGAUCUUCAUUCUAAUUUUAAUCUUUUUUUUUAAUUAUUUUCCACAACAUUAAAAAAAUAAUAAUUAAAUUUUGCGCAAAAACGGACCCAUUUAAGGUGUGGAAAUAUACAAUUGGCCCGGUUAGGGAAUUAAUCGUAAAAAAAGCCCCAACGUGUUUUCCGUGCCUUAUGGACCAAAUAUACCCCUAGCAUCGUCUCUCUUCUCCUUCGUAAUCUCUUUUUCUCCUUUCUUAUCUCAAAAUAAAAAGUACUGAAAGAAAAAAAAAAAAAAAAAAAAAAAAAAAAAAAAUUAAAUACAUAAUCAAUCAUGAAAGAAGAAGAAAAAGAAGAGAGAGAUUCAUAAAGAACUUUUAACGAAAAACCGUUAAUAAUUGAAAGUGAAAUUUUGAAAGAAGAAAAAUGAUUGUUAUUGUUGUUUUUCAAAUCUAAGAGGGCUACCAUCAGAAACUACAAUCAUCUCACCUAUGGAUUAAUUCAAAAUCACAAUUAUGUAAAUUAAAGUAGCAAUCAAGCUUGAGAUGGUGAAGUAAUGGCUGCUGGUGAACAUAAAUAACAUGGGAUGAAAAUGAUGUGUUUUGGGCCGUAUCAACUUGACUUUAAACUACCAAUUGGGCCUAACUUGAGGAUUGUUAUUUCAGUCACAACAUAAACAUAAAAUGCAAAGACUUGUUUGCAUAAGUCACAAACACAUACAAACAUGCAAAUAUUUGUUUGCAUACUCGCAACAACAACCACAUAAACCAUAAAAUGCAAAGACGUGUUUGCACUAAUCACACACAUAAAUAUAAAAUGCAAAGAUCUGUUUGCAUCUAUCACAAAUAGAUAAACCAUAAAAAUGCAAAUACUUGUUUGCAUAUACACACCACAUCUGGGCAAUAGUUUGAAUUUAUUUUGCUAAACAAAUGUACACAACAGAUAGUUCACUAAUUGAAUUGAAAUUGUUCCAAUUAAGAAGAGAUUAAGAAUAUAAUUUAUUUGAAAAGAAGAAACGUAAUUGUGGUGGUAAGAAAUCUCUAGAAAAUAAAAAAGGGUAAUAUUGGAAUUAAAGUUAUACUUAAAAUCUUGUUAGGGCAUUUUUUACAAUUUUUAUGUUAAAUGGGUAUUUUCUUAUCCCUACCAAUACUUAAUCAGGGCCUUUUUUAAAAUGAGUUUCUUAGCUGGGCCAUUUGUGUUUUGCUCCCCCUUAAUGAGGUCCCAGAACCAUUUCCAUGUUUAACGAACUCAGGAGGAGAGUUUUUUUCCCGAUGCGAAACUUUUACCAAAAAAGCCCAUUUCUCUUUUACUAAAAUCAAAUAUAUCUUUUCCAAUACAAAGGGUUAUUAAAUAAUUUUAAUAUAAAUAAUUAAACUUUAUCAAGUAGUUACCUACAAACUAGGAAACUAAUAUUGUUUUUACCAAACAAGGAAACUAAAUAUGAUAUACGUCUAACAGACGUGCAUUCACUUAGUUUUAUUAAUAAACUCAAAGACUUAUUUUAAACAAAAUCAUAGAAUCUUUAUUUGAAUUUGCAUAAAUCACAUGAAAAAGUUUUUAUUUGAGUUUACACUGCUUUUUAACAGGACUUUAAAAAGGAUAAUUCUACAGUUGAACAAAGUUUAGACACAAUUUACACAUGAAUUAUAGAGCUGCAAAAUUUCAGGUUCACAGUCUGGGCCUUACUACUAGUAGUAAAUCAUCUUUUUCCACACAUAACAGAUCCUACAUGUGGUUAUUCCCUUCAUUCUAAUAAUUGUUAUAAUUAUGGGUGCAGCUGCUUAGAGCAUCUCUAAUGCACGGUGUAAAAAUAGUUUUUUUCUAUAAUUUUGUCCCUAAUGCAUAUGCUAUAACUCAUGCUAUAAAUGCAUCUAUAAGCAUGGUUCAUUUUGGAACAAAAUAUACAACCUUCUAUCUCUAACAAAUGAUUUAUUUAUUAUAUAUUUUGGAAAGUACAUCAAUAGUCUUUUUCUUCCCCAUUUGUUGUAUUCUUUUUACAUCAAUAGAAGGUUGUAAAAUUUAUGUGCAUUAGUCUUAAAAUAAAAGUUCUAAAUUUAGAAAGUUGCAAAAUCCUAGAAAAUGCUAUAAAUGCUGAUGUGUCACCUAUGUGGCAUGCUAAAUUUAGACAGUGUAUUAGAGACUAGGAAAUAGAGAUAGAAAAGAAAGUAGUAUAAAUGUAUAAUGUAAAUAAAAAGUGAUCAAAACUCUAAAUUUACCGAUUGGUCAAAUUGAAGUUAAAUACAAAGCAAAAUCAAUGAUACCAAAAAUGGCAUUAUUCAUAAAAAAAAACAGGACAACAAGUACAUCCCCCAGAAAAUAAUAUUCAACCUCGCUGAAAAAAAAAAAAAGUGCAUCCAAAAUAAAAUAAUCAAGAUCAAAUUAAAACAAAAUAAGAGUGACAUACAUCUUCAAGAAAUUGGGCAGGGACUGAGGCUUUCAACAUGAGGUAGGAAAGCAUAUUUAGCAUAUUUAAAUUUCAACCGCUUGAGCUUUAAAGACGUCAACUGUUGAAACUGAACAUCAUAAACAGAGUAUACAUGUUCAUUUCCUUCCAUACCUCGUAAGAUAAAGAAUCUACCAUUUCCGUAAGUAGCAAGAACUUCUGAAAAUUGCCAAUUCUCCGAAAAUUUAUAACCAUAUGCUAUGAGGUUCACACUGUAUAGCUUGUGCCAUUCUCCCCUUUUUAGGUCCUUCAGAACCCAAAUAUCCCAUUGACAUAGCUGACGACUCUGUACCUCUUUAUUUGGCACCACAUGAGAGGGACAACCUUCUAUUUCGUGUAACACUUCUACUCUAGGCCUACAACAUACAGGGACUUCUGACUUGUAAAACUUCUCCCCAGCAGUGUCAAAAGAAAUCACGACCAGAGACUCUACCCUAUCAUUUUCAUAGGUCCCAGAACAACAAAAAUGGAAGACUUCUUUGAUGAUAAGGUAUCCAUAUUUUGCGACAUACCGACCACGUAGGCGCUUGAAAGGUGAAUAUACCCAUUUCCAUUGAGGAAAAGUAGAACCAAGAGUAAGCAUUUCACAUCUCAAGAAUCUGUCUUCGUCAAAAACAAGAGAAACUACUUUAUAUUCCCCAGUAGAACUAUGGAAUGUGAUUCCACGUAGAAUAUCUAAUUCUUCAUGCCAUCGUGUACAAGGAGGCAAUUCAACGAACUGUUUAGUAACAGGAUUAGCAACUAUUAGACGUCCCACACUUGGCAUAUCGUCUAGUAAAAGUAGUCCAUUGCAGCUACUUCUCACAACCUUUUUGUAUUUUAAUUUUAAUCGACUAAUCCUGAAACUUCCGUCAUUUUCAAUCUGUAUAUUAUUAGGAUCAGAAAAUCUGAAGUUCUUUACUUGUGGAAAUAACGCAGCUCUUGGUAUGGCAAGAAACCCAGGAAUUGAUUGGCGAAGGUGUGCAUCGAUAAAUCUGGAACUGUUUAAUAACUCAAACCAUUGUUUGCAAUUAUACAUCAUUCUGUGAACUUUCUGCGCACGAAGCCUCAUAACCGUGUUGAAUACGAGAUCCUCAUCGAUAUAUGGAACCACCAAAUCACUGUUCUUGUGCUCACAAAUGUUCUUGCUUACAAGAUCUUUGUGAUUUUCCAUCUUCAGCUAAUAUGAAAUUUGCUAUCUUAAUUAAAAAAGAAAGAAAAAAGAAAAAUUAGAUAUAUGAAAGGUAUCUUAAAAAAAAUGAGCUAAUACAUAUUACAUUACUUUACAAAAGACGAUAAUUUUAUAAUAAAAGAUCACGUAAAUUACAAAUAAUUCGUCAUACACAAAGAACUCUGAAUCAAUAGGUAUAUAUGGACGAAGUUGGGUUGGUUGCAAUGCAACCCGACUCCUAGGAUAAAGUCAAUGCAAAAUGUCCUCCAACAAAAACUUACUAAUCAACAAGAAAUCCAAACAAUAGCACGGACUUACAUCCCAUGCUAAGAUACUUACAAUAUUUCAGGGGAGCUAAAAUUGCCGCGCUGGUUUUUACACCAUCCACGUUUUUCUGACCCAUAUGCCCCUCAUUUUUAAAACUUUUUAAUUAAAUAAAUGUUAAGAAAAGGUUAUUCAAGUCAAAUUACUUAACAAGCUCGUGAAGUGGUGACAAACAUAUAUUCUAUCUUGAAGUGCUACCCAUGAUGAGCCAGAUAGAGACCAAGGUAUUCAGAACACCCCCAACCCCCUUUCCCAAUUCCCACAUCUUUGGAAAUUUUAUAAAUUGCUAGAUAUUGGUAGUAUUAAUUAUUUUAAAAUGGAUUUAAAAGAAAAAAAAAGAAAAGUUGGUAUGUGUAAAUGUGACCCCCCUGCUCCCUAGGAAGCAAACUGCAUACUCCAAGAUUAAUGUUAAUUAAUUCAAACUUAUUUUCUCUACCACAUUGGAGUAUCUGAUUCGUAAAACAAUUGAAAAUAGAUUUGUGGGUGAAUUAGGCGAAGAAGAAAAGAGCACAGAGACGAAAGCGUGGAAGCUGAAUCCUGGAGAGAAAGAUUUCAAUUUUCAGGCACGUAAAUAGAAACGUAUAUUCCUUCUGUUUGAAAUCCGAUACAACACCUCUUUCUCUGUUAAUUAGUAAUUACUAUGGUUGAAUACAUAUUAUAGAUUGAAAUAUCAAGUUGUCUAAACACCAAACACAGCCAAUAAGUCAAUAAAAUUUCAUCACUGAAAACACCAAAAUCAAACACUGUAUUUACUUAAUAAUUAGAUAAAAAAAUCCACCAAAUUAAUUACUUAUGAGCACAAAUAAUAUAUCAUCAAAGUAUCAAAUAAUUUUGCAUUUUCCAUUUUCAGUUAAGCUAGCGAGGUACAAUGCCCCCUACCUGCAAGGUACCUAUCAUCACAAACUAAUAGUAGCCAAAGUUUUACAUGCAUGGCUGUUGAGACUUGAGAGUGCUACACAUAAUACGAAAUAUCGCGAUAUAUAUCGUUUUUCUGACAAAAUGGUACGAUAUAUUUCUGAUAGUUACUCUUUAAUGGUUCUGUAAAACAUCGGCCGAUAUUUACCGAUAUUUGGUGAUAUUUUCCGAUAUUUUCUGAAUUUUUUUUUUUUAUUUUCACAAUAAUACACAAUAAAAAAGGAGCAGCAACAAUAACAACAGCAAAGACUACUUCUUUUCUCAAAAUCGCUGGAACAAAAGCUCAAUUUGAUCAAACAAAAAAUUCACAAUUUGAUCAAACUAAUAAUUGAACAAAAAAACAAAAACAAAAAUCAAAUUUUCAAUCGAAUAAUAGAGAAAAAUAUACCCUAAUUGUAAAAUCAUACAUUAAAAGUGUGGAUGAGAAUCAAUACCUGUAAGCAAUGAAGAAGAUUUUAAGCAGAGGUGGUGUUGAAGAAAUUGAAACUAUAACAAGUAAUUAUCGCCGUUUGUUGAAUGAAGAAGAUUUUUAGCAGAGGUGGUGUUGAAGAGAUUAAAACUAUAACAAGUAAUUAUCGCCGUAUCGCCGUUUCGCCGUUUGUUGAAGAAACUGUGGUGGUGAAGAGAUUAUAUAUAGUUGUUUGUUUCGGUGAGAAUUGAAAGAGAAGACGGUUUUAAGAGAGAGAGAGAUAUGGAGUAGAGCCCGAUGUUUAGAAGGAAUCCUUGUUAAAUUGAUAGAGAUAGAAUCCUUGUUAAAUUGAUAGAGAUAGAAUCCUUGUUAAAUUGAUAGAGAUAGAAUGGAAAUCUAAGGAAUUUAUACUGAAGUGCUUCAUCAUCAAGUUGAAAUUGGAGUACAAACACUACACGGUAUAUUGAAAAAUAAAUAGAAAGCCAGAGAUGAUAUUGAAAAAGGAAAUAGAAAACAGACAAGAUCGAACCAUAGCUUUUACCAACGAUUUCUAAAAACUGUAAUUGAAGAAGAAGAAGAAGAAGAAAGAGAAUUUUGGUACGUUUGAUAAGUGAAAGGAUUGAUUCAGUGGUCACAAGAAUAAGUAUCAUUGAAGAGUACUGGAUAGAAUUUUAAAGUUGUUGACACUCGAGAACCCAAACGAUUGACUUUAGAUUUAGAGCACGGCUGUCGCUGUGGGCUGUGGGCUGUGGCACGCACACGAUUAACCGUGUACGAUUCAUUACGUGGGCAAAAAAAUUCUGACCUCUCUCUCUCUCUCUCUCUCUCUCUCUCUCUCUCUCUCUCUCUCUCUCUCUCUCUCNNNNNNNNNNNNNNNNNNNNNNNNNNNNNNNNNNNNNNNNNNNNNNNNNNNNNNNNNNNNNNNNNNNNNNNNNNNNNNNNNNNNNNNNNNNNNNNNNNNNUUGUACUAUAUUCUCAGGUACUUACCGAAUCUCUCUCGUUGUGAUGCAAGACUGACACAAAAAUCUUGCAGUCCAUUUGGCCUUGUUUGUUUACAGGCCUUUGGCCUUCUUCAACAAUAACAUAGACAUAAUAUUGAAAUUUGAAAGUUAGAAGCUAUUUUACAUAGAAAUCAAAUUCUUUUACAGUUUUACAUAUAUUUUAUUUUUUCAAUUUAAUACAUAUACGUAUCCAGCAUGCAUGUGAACAAAAUAAUGAACUAUUUCCUGCAUGGGGGUAGAGGAGAUCCACAUAGAUGAUCAUUCCCUACAAAUGACUCAGGUGAGAACUUUGUUGUCGGAAUUUGACCACUCAGUCGAUUGUAUGACAAGUCAAGUUUUUCGAGUUUAUUGAAAUUCUUGAGGUAUUUCGGGAUUUUUCCUGUCAAAGUGUUGUGGCUAGCAUUGAAUAUUUCAAGUUGAGGUGCCAAGAAUGAAAAUGAAGGUGGAAUCUCACCAAAAAACUUGUUGUGA
rnacentral:lncRNA from 1 species